AUAUUUAGGGUUUUUUGUUCAUACCGCGUGCCAAGACUUUGCUAUCCCACCCAAAACCGUGGACCUACAAAGGUGUCUUCGUCCUGGGCAUGGCUCGUGGAAAAUUGUUUGUUUCCCGUUCAUGACCAAAACCAUGGGCUCUUGUCGUAUUAUUACCGGCCAAUAAAUUUCUUCCCGUUUUUUUUUUUUUUUUUUGUCAAUACAGUGAAUAUCUGGGUAUCACCCGACUAAUUUCACUGCACCUGAAUCCCCGCCUCCCAAGAGACCCAGAGCGGUAAUGAAGCAGGAUCGACCACAUGAUCUGGGCCUAACGAGGGUGUUCCCAAAGCCAGCCGACCCGCACCCAGGGGGCCUUCCGAUUUGUUCUCUUUUGAAGUUUUUUGCACUUAAAAUUCAGCUAGUAUGGUGUUAUUGAAUUAAAAAUUUAGACAAAUUUGAAUUUUAAAAACUAAUUAUAUACACAAAUACAGCAAAUUACACAUAUUCAGUAUGCUACCGUUUCACGUUCACUUGUUGUCCGCUUUCUGUGUUACAUUCAAGUAUCCACUCCAAACCUAUCUUGGAUUCAUCAUGAUUCCACUUUAAUGUUUCUUCCAAAAAAAAAAAAAACUUCUUUUCAAAUCUUUGAAACUUUAGUUUUGAAAAAAAAAAAAAGAAAAUACUUGUAACAGUGAAUUAGUACAUGAGAAAUUUAACUAUUAAACACUACUAGUUACUAUUUCAUUCUUCAUCCUUCGUGUACUUUGUUUGAUUUCCUUGAUUUAAUUCUUCUUCAUAUUUAAUUAAUCUUCAUCCAUUCCACAAUCCAAAACACACCACCAGCAGCACCCUUUUGUUUUUUUUUGGAGGGCUCCCAGGCGUCCCUACCAUGUGAAUUGAACUGCUUUCUUUUUGACUGGAAGAGGAAAUGAACGGCGUGAGAAGUUUCGCAGAGAUAGUUAAAAACAACAGAAGAUUAGAAGUUUCACCUAACAGGCAAAAGCUUCUCCUCCUUUACUAGUUGUUGAAAGCAAAGCUCACUUUACCAGGAUGGCUGACCCUGUUGUCUCUGUUGUUAUUGAGAGAACUAGCAAUCUGCUGAUUCAAAAAAUCGUUUUCCUGAAAGGCGUUCGACGACAAGUUGAGAGACUUCAAAAUGAUCUGGUCCGGAUGCGGUGUUUCCUGAACGAUGCUGAUCAGAGGCAAGAUGAAGAUGAGAGGAUCCGCAACUGGGUUUCUGAAAUCAGAGCUGCGGCCUACGAUGCGGAGGAUAUCAUUGAGAUCUUUGCCAGCAAAGUUGAGUUCUUCACAAAGGACAAGGGACUCGUCACCAAAUUGACGUAUUAUCCCUUGAAAAUUGUGAGCCUCAACAAGAUCGGUAAAGAGAUUGAGUCCUUACGGAUGAGGCUCAAGGAGAUUGCUGACAGCCGCGAAGAGUAUGGUAUCAAAAAUCUUAGAGAGGGGAUGACUACACAUGGAGAAGAGCUUCAACGGAUCAGGCGAUCCUCUCCUCUCAACGAGGACAAGGAUAUAGUGGGCUUCGGGGAGAUAACAAAAUCGCUGGUGUCAGAACUUUUGAAAGGGGGCAAAAACCGCCGUGUGGUUUCGAUCAUUGGCAUGGGAGGUGCUGGUAAGACAACUCUAGCCAAAAAAGUUUAUAACCAUGCUGACGUCAGGACAAGAUUCAACUGCCGUGCUUGGGUAUGCGUCUCUUCAAGCUACAAUCACAAAGAGACGCUGAGGACAAUCAUAAAGCAAUUAAAUCCGAUGACUAAUGAGCUACUUGACAUGUUGGAAAGGAUGCAGGAGCAGGACUUGGAAGAAAGGCUGUAUAAAGAUCUACAAGAUAAGCGUUAUCUUGUGGUACUUGAUGAUGUAUGGAAGGAAGCAGCGUGGGAUUGUCUAGCCACGAGGGCCUUUCCUGAUGGUAGUACAUCAAGUAGAUUGCUACUUACAAGUCGCAACUUGGAUGUUGCCGUACACGCAGAUGCUCUUAGCAAACCACAUGAGUUGAAAACUUUGGGGGAGGAAGACAGCUGGCAGUUGUUUCUCAAAAAGGCCUUAGUCCAUGAAGCUAAUGCUGUGUGUCCUCCAGAUUUGGAAGAAGUAGGUAGAGAGAUUGUAAGGAGAUGUGCUGGUCUGCCACUGGCCAUCACAGUUAUAGGUGGCCUGCUACUGGGCAAGAAAGAGUUGAAGAGUGAAUGGGAGAAAGUUCUCAGCAACUUUAGCACAUACCUAUCAAGGAGCCAGAACGGAGUAUCAGCAAUUCUGGAAUUAAGUUAUGCAGAUCUUCCUGCCAAUCUGAAAUUUUGCUUUUUGUAUUUGGGUUUGUUUCCCGAAGACUCUGUGAUUUCUGUGCGCAAGUUGAUCCAUAUGUGGGUUGCAGAGGGAAUAAUGCAGAAAAGAGAUGCAGAAAAUUUGGAGGAAACUGCAGCAUAUGAUGAUGUGGAACGACUUUGUCGCAGAAAUAUGGUCCAAGUGGCGGAAAUGACUAUUGAUGAGAGAAUUAAAAGCUGCAGAGUCCAUGAUUUGCUGCGAGACGUUGCAAUCAGAAAGGCAGAGGAUGAAAAUUUUUUUCAGAUCCAUGACACCAGAGAUGAUAAAAUAUCAGCCAAAUCCAGGUACCUUGCUGUUCAUACUCUCUCUCGGGAUAAAAAUUAUUUUGGGUCUUCAACCCCUCCUCUUCGGUCUCUACUUUUUUUCAAUAUCCGCCGUUACGGGGAAGACAUUAGUCUUAGCUUCAAAAGUUUCAGAAAGCUUAGGAUAGUGGACCUUGAGAAUGUUGAGAUGGGUUAUGAUUUGCCAGAAGGAAUUGGUGAAUUCAGGCUUCUAAGGUACCUCGGUUUAAGACGCACAUCCAUUGAAAGGCUCCCUCAUUCCUUCGGUUUUUUGCGAAACCUACAAACUCUUGACAUACGGAACAUUAACCGAGUGAUAGUUUCAAAUUUCAUUUGGAAACUUGAAAGUUUACGGCAUCUACACGCUUAUGAUAUAAUGAGUAAUGUGCCUCUUAAAAUUGAAGGAUUGAGGAAUCUCCAAACUCUGUCGCGCAUACACUUUGAUCACAUUAUGCACAAUGACAUGACAACUUUGACAAGUCUUCAGAAACUGGGGAUUUGGGUGGAUGGAACAUCAGAGAUAGACAAACUCUGCACGCAUUUAUCUGAGGUUGGAAGCCUAAAGACGUUACAUCUUUAUUGUCUCGAGCAGCCACAGUCUCUAGCUGGACUUUCUAAGCUCCAUCAUGUAACAGCGCUCAAGCUAUUCGGGAGGGGUUUGAGAACGCUGCCUCCUGAUUUCCCUCCAAAUCUCUCUCGCUUGUCUUUGAAAGAAACACGACUCGGGGCUGACCCAAUGCCAGUACUAGAGAAGUUGGGACAGCUGUCGUUCCUCAAAAUGAAAGAUGCAUAUGAGGGAUCACAGCAUAUGGUCAUUUCUAGGAAUGGGUUUCACCGAUUGAAAUUCCUUGAGCUCAGAUACCUAAGAGUGGAUGAAAUAAAGGUGGAGGAAGGUGCAUUGCGACGGCUCCAGUGCCUGAGAAUCAGGGAGUGCUACAGAUUAGAAAAGUUGCCGGAAGAGCUGAAGCACAUAUCUACUCUUGAUAAGCUUGAGCUUGUGGACAUGCCAAAAGAUUUUAUCAGAAGGCUUGAUGCGGACAUGGUGUCCAGUGUCCCUAGCUUCAGCAUAUUUUGACUCUAGAAUCUAAGUCCUUAUUUGUAUUUCGAACAUAGAAUGGAAGGUAUGUAGUGUAGUGAUUAAUAAAAUUAUUUCAAGUUUUUAUCAAAAUAUAUAAAUAAAAAGAAUGUUUCCGUUGUUGUUUUCCCCAAUUCACAAGCUUUUUAAGUCCUUUUUUUUUUUAAAUUAUUUGAAAUCUCACACUUCAAUGCUUAUUUUUUUAAUUGUCCCACUAUUAAACAAGGAAUGACUCUUUUGUUAUUAAUGAUAUUUUGGGCAACUAACAGUGUCUUAUAGGAUUUGUCUUUCUAUAAAUUUGCAAUGCAUAUAUCAUAUUAAUACAAGUAGUAAUUAAAAAAAAAAAAUAAACAGCUCAAGUCUUCAGUGGGCCUCAAAAAAUCCUCAUAGUAAACUCUUAGGAUUUGUAAAUGUCGAAAUCGAUAAAAAAUAUCUUGAGGCAUUUGGUUGAUUCUAAUUUUUCCCAUGCUGUCCUAACUGAAAAGGAGAAUAAUGAAAUAAAAGCCCAUAUUUGUGUACUGGAAGAGAAAAAAGAAUGAAGUUGGCAAGGAAUCCGUCCCGUAUAAACUGUUGGCCCAUUUGAAAUUGAGGAUUGGUUGCUUCCUAAAUACUACUCACUAUGCAUGUAAGAUGUUAAAAGUAAAAAAAACUAAAUUGGUCAAUUUUGAGUUUGUAACUGGAUCCCUUACUGAACUUGGUCUUGAACCAUGAUUUGAAAAAAAAAAAAAAAAAAAAAUUUUUUUACUUGCAUCACAAAUACAAUUUUUAUCACACCUUUUCAUUUUUUUAAUCACCUUUUUAUUUUACAUAUAUCACAUUAUAAAAAGUACUAUAGUAAUUAUUUCAUAUGAAUAUUUCAAAUAAUCUCCUAUACAAAUCUAUGUACUUUUACCUUAUACUCUCAUUUAUUUAUUCUCUCUACUGAGCGGCCCUGCUUCACCUUGUAUUGUACCAUUGUCUAAAUUUCAGUGUAGUGAUUAAUAAAAUUAUUUCAAGUUUUUAUGAAAAUAUAUAAAUAAAAGGAAUCUUCCUGAUUCAACAUCCUUAGUUUGACAUUAUUUUAAUCUUUAUUCCGCCAUAUAAUUCAGACCAACUGACAAGCUUUUUUAAGUGCUCCAUUUUUUUUUUUCAAGUUUGGGUAACUGACAUUUACACUUAUGUCUUAUAGGAUUUAUCAAUUUACAUUCUUGAUAGUAAACUCUUGGGAUUUGGAAAUUUUUAAACUCUUGGGAUUGAUCAUAAUUUUUCCCAUUCUGUCCAAACAGAAAAAAGGGAAUAAGAAACAAAAGCCUCUGUUCAGGUACUAGAAGAGAAGAAAAGAACGAAUUUAACAAAUAAAUCAAGGAAUUCAUCCCAUAUAAAGUGUUGGUCCAUCUGAAAUUGAGGAUUGAUUGCUUCCUAUAUCUACUCACACUAUACACAAGAAGUAAAAGAAAGAAAACAAAUUUAAACAUGCGAAAAGCAAAUAACAAACUGUUCAACGAAGUUAUUUCGGAUAAAUGUUCAAGGGGAAAAAAUUUAGUGAAGGGAAAAUUUCUGAAUACGGGCACAAGAAUGAAAAAACAUAAUGCAAUCUCGCUUCUGGAAAAAAACUGAUCAAAUAUUAUUUUCUGGAAAAACUGAGUAAAUGUUAUUUUACUCUCAACGAAGCAGAAAUGCCAAAAGAACGAUGACUUUCAAUUGCUUAUUAUUAUUUUUUUUUUUUCUCUUUCAAGCAUUAGGGGAUAAUUCUAAGGGCUUCCAAGAAUUUACUGUAGGCCAUACAGAAAGAAACUAAAAGUUUCGGGUUGCAAGUUGUAGGAAAUAAAAUUUUGUUAAUUUAAAAUUCUGUAUUUGCUGUCUGCAUUUGCUGAGGAAUCUCGAUGAAUAACAGCGGAAUCAUGGAGAAAAUGAAAUAGGAAGACAAAAGAGGCAUAUGUUCUUUAACUCUGCUUUUAAAGUAAUGGGAGGGGAUUUGUCACUCUUUAAGUUUAUUGUGCUCUUUACGUACUGAAUAGUUUGAUUUCCCACUCUGCAAAGACAUGCAAUUAGCCUUCCUGAUUCAAUGAAAAUACCUCGAGGCAUGUGACUGCUCGUCAUUUUUCCCAUGCUGUCCAAACUAAAAAAGAGAUUAAGGAAAGAAAAGCCUCUAUUCAAGAGAAAUGAAUAACAAAUCAUGGAAUUCAUCCCAUAUAAAGUGUUGAUCCAUCUGAGACUGAGAGUGAGGAUUGAUUGCUUCCUAUAUAGUAUAUACUACUCACUAUAUAUAUAAGAUGUAAUAGAAAAGAUAACAAAUUUAAACGUGCAAAAAGCAAAUAACAAUCUGUUCAAUGCAAUUGUUUGGGAUAAACAUCAAAGGGAAAGAAAAUUACUGAAGAGAAAAUUACAUUAAAAUUUAUCCAAAAGUGCAAUUUGCCAAAUACGAUUGUAGAUACAUAACCAACACAUUUAAGGUGAAUUUGCCCAGAGAUGGCAGUGGGUAAGAUAAAACUCGAUACUUGUGGAUACUCGAUACAAUGGAUAAUCUGAUUAGAUGAUCGAUGGGCAAUACGUUAGCAUCUGAUAUUGAUGAGGGGUUAAAAUGUUAAGUUCCUUUCAUUCUAGAUCUAUGACUAUCGAAAUUUAAAAUUUAAUUUAGUAUUUUAAUUUAGCAUGAUGUAUGUAUUAAUUUUAGGUUGAUGAUAGUUAAUUCCCUUUUUCUGAACUAUUCAGAUUGGUGAGUAGAGGGUAUUUGAUUGAUAAUUUGAACUCAGUAGUAAGAGGUUUUGGUAUUGAGGGUUAAAACGCAUAGGAUUACUUGAUAGAGUUUGGUAAAAAAAAUUUAAAUAUGCAGGGUAGAAUUUGGUAAAAGGAAUUUUUGAAAGUAUCCGACUUGCUGCGGUCCCAAAAUUUACUAAGAAGCAUAAACCCCGGAUAGCACCGCUUAGUGCUUGUACUCUGGGUUGGAGUUGUGUUUUCCUUCCAGCCUCCCUUAAUCCAAAUGGAUAUCCCCAACAGUAGUUAGAUAAGAAUAGGUUAAGUGUUGCUUGUUGCUCAUUAAACAAAUUAUUGCAACAUGUUCUACAGUUCUAAUUUUGUACAGGUUUAGGUUGACAAUUGCGUAAAUAACGAACAUUAAAGCAAAAUUAUUGCCACAGAGAUGCAUUAUAGCCUCAAAUUAACUUAAGGGAUAAUUUCAUAAUCCUCCCUUGAGGUUUUUAAUAAUUUCAUUUAGCUCCCUCAAGAUUUUAAAAAUUACACAUACCUUCCUUGUCAGUUAAAAUAACAAUACUGCCCUUAAAUAAUUUAAUGAAAUGCCCUUGUUUAGUGUGCUUAUACUUAGAAUGACAUUUAAAAUUAUUUUUUUCAUUAUUUUUCCUUCUUAUUCCUUUUUUUUUUUUUAAAUUUUCUGCCAAUAAAACUGUAAAACUACCACAAUUACCUCUAGUUUAUAUUGUAACCAAAUGUCGAACUAGUGAUUUUUUUUUUGUGAGUUAACUUAUAUGUAAUCCAGUGUUUUUGCUGAUCUUUAUUUUCUAUUUUUUUAUAUUAAAAUUAACAAUAAAUAAAAAAGAAAUUGCCCAAACCAACUACUAAAUUAUAAUAAUUCUACUAUUCAAAAAAUUCAUAAAUUCUAAAUAAAUUAUUUCAACAUUUUCUUUUCUAUCAUAUAAAUCUAAAUCCAUAAUAAAAUACCAUCAAAAGUAUCUUAUCAUAGUGAUAAAAUUAUUAUUAUAGUUGUAUAUCAAAUAGUAGGUAUGGACAUGAAAGAUUUAGCACCUUUUUUCUUAUAAUUAUACUAGAUAAUUUUAUAAUUAUGUACGGAAAUAAAUUAAAACUCAGUAUAUGAGGGCAUUUUUGGAUAUUCAUUUAAAACUUUGACCAAGUCAACAUUAUUUUAAGGUUUUGUUACUAAAACUAUAAAAUCAAAAGAGAUAGGUGUAAUUUUUCAAAUCUCAGUGGAACUUAGUGAAUUUGUUAAAAACCUCAGGGGAGGUUUAUGAAAUUAUCCCUUAACUUAAUCAUUUUAUGCUAGCCCUUGCAAGAUCUGGUUAUCAUAUUUUUGGAUAUAUUCUGUCAUUAUGCUUUGACAAAAUUUUAAUCAAAGUUUAUUCAAAGUUAGUUCACUUGUGCAAAGAUAUUUCUUUAACUCAUACAAGGAACAUCGCCAUGUGGCCGAUGUGCGUUUUAAAGACACUAUGUCCUAUAGAAGACCAAUGGCUUUACUUAUUGGUUAGGUGAAAUGAAAUCCUUAAUUACACUUUUCAUGACCAAUUAAAUAGUUAGGCCUUUUGAUGUAUUUCGGUUAAAAAUGGUUUCCUAGCCUAUUCAUUUUGACCUGUUAAAUACCCUCGUAUAGAUUAUAAAGUGCCCAAGAAAAGGACAUCCGAACGGGAGAAUUUUUGAAAAAAAGCAUUCAAACAAUGACUGGGUAAAUUAUUUUUUUUUCCGAGUGGAUUAGGUUGAUGAUUUUGUCAUCUUGCUUUUUCUCGUAUUCCAUAAUCACGCACACGUGUAGCUAUUUUAACCUGGUUCAAAUCUGUGAUCCUUGUCUUCAAUUACUAACUAACUUAUACUAGUCAAAGUCUAAACAUUUUGAAUCCAUCCUCCUUGGUUGAAGUCACUAGUGGAGCAUCGGGAGAAGCUCUAUUUCUUCUUAGCAUCAAUAUUUAGCAUCCAUCAAUAUUUCGUCUUUAUAUAAAACUUGAUAACCCAUAUGCAUUAAAAAAAAAAAUCUAAGGACCCGAAAAAAAAGGAAGUCCAUUUUCGAUGGGGGUGAUUAGACAACAAAAUGGGAUCAGAUGGGCUAAAAUUGCUUCCUUUCUGGAUAAUGAUGUGUGGUUAAUUUAUUUGCUUGUGGAUUGUACUAUUUCAAAUAUUUGAACAAUUUAAUUCUGAAAACGAAAAGGGAUGAACAAUUUAGUCAAGCCUAACUAGCUAACUUACCCCUGCAGGUACGUAGUUCCAACUUCCACAACGUCACGGACUCAUGGCAAACGUUAAGCAAAAAGGUCGCAGUCUCCCUUACGUUGCCUGGAGGAGGACGACUAAUUUCUUAACAGGCGCAUCCCGAAUUUGGGUACAGAAUAUUCUAACUUCCCACACCUUAAAAAAAAAAAAAAGAAUGAAUGAAUGAAAACUCCCACGUGUAACAUCAGUUUGUAGAUAUAUUUUGGUUUCUUUUGGUUUGUUUAGGAGUCCAAAUAUUUUAGUUGUUGUUUUUCGGAAUAAGAAAAUGGAAUUUGGUGUAAGUGAUCUGAGGAAGUGAUUUUUGGUGGGCAAUUGAACCGACCGGAAUCUGUCUCUUCUGAGGUGAGGUGUAUCCUCUUGUCCGAAGUGAAUGGCGGGGCUUCUCCCCUGGGAUCACUCCGACGAUCAAGUUAGUAUGAGAACGAGAGAAAAGCAUUAGUAUUGUCAAAUGAACAGUAUGCUUACUUGUUGGGUGUACAUGAGAGGUAUUUAUAGAGCGGGUGUGGAUGGCAGGACAGAGGGCUCAUGCUAGUGGGACCCAUGUUCUGCCAUUACGGCUCUGUUCCUUGCCAGGAGGUCAGACUCUGACACUGUAGCCGCCUGGGCAGGGUGAUGGGGAAUCCUGCGCAGUAGCCAUUAAGAGUAUCAGUGCUUUUCAGAUAAAGCACUGGUCCCUGAUGAUGUCAGGUGGCUUGACAUCAUCAGCGUGCAGCUGAGGUGGAAGUCUGAGGUGCAGGGGUCAUCUAGGCAGUUGACCAGGGGCUUGCCCAAGAUCAGGGGCCAUAUCCAGCACGAGGCGUGCUCGCGUGAGGGAGGAAGUGAGAUCACCUCGGCAUUCCCACAAUGGCCGAGGUGAACACCCUCAUGAUCAACCAUAACUCUUCAACGCUUCAGAUGCAAAUCACGGUCAACUGCAUAGUUUCACAUACUGUUAGUUCGUUUGUGCUAUACCUUCUUUAUAUUUUAGAAAAAAAAUAAAAGGGUCUGUAACUUCAUUUGUCUCCCAACUUUAGCUCUUGAUCUUAUAUUGCCCCUUAUUAAGGUCAGGGACAUAAUCAGGAUUUUUAUAAAGAUAAGGGACAAAAUAAGUACAUGAGCUGAAGUUGAGGGACAGGCAAAGUCAUUUAUCAAUAUAUAUAUAUAUAUAUAUAUAUAUAUAUAUAUAUAUAUUGUAACACUUAUUAUUAUUUAAUAUAUCUGAGAUAAAAAGAAAAUCAGAAAAUCACGUAUUUCACAAAAAAGAUUUUCAAAAAUUUUUCCAAGUAAUGGGAAUCCAAACGGAUUUCAAAAUACACCUCCUAUUUGAUGCAAAAAAAAAAAAAAACCUCUAAAUUUGAUUAUAUUUUUCUUAAGAAUCCAAGGAAAUGAUCACCCUUUGCCAUAGAAUAGUAUUAAUUAGAUUUCAGUUAUCCAUUUGGAGCUAGAAAAGCACGUUAGCUUUCAUAAUCCAACAAUAACGUUGUUUUAAAUGACCUCUGGAUUUUUAUAAACAAAACGGCAUCGUUAACGUGCUGAUCGUGCGAACUUUCUUUUCGCUUUUGAAAACGUUCGAAAGCUGAAAUUUGACGCAGCUUUUUGACUAUAACUUGAAAUGUUGAAGGGCAAUUUAUCUGGAUGGCCAGCACACUUUUGAAAUCGUUGAAUUUUAACUAUUGACCUAUUAAAAAUUUGGUUUUGGCUAUUGAACUAUUUAAAGUUUGGAUUUCGGAUCAUUCCGUUAGAUUUCACCGUUAAACAUAACAGAUUUGACUGGUCGCACGAUUCACGAGAUAAAAGUAAAGGGCAUAGUUAUCGAUUAAAUCUGACGGAAUGACCCGAAAUCUAAACUUUAGAUAGUCCAGUGGCUAAAAUCUGACUUUAAUAAUUCAGUGAACAAAACUCAACGAUUUCAAAAGUUCAGUGGCCAUUCGGAUAAUUUGCUCAAUAUUGAAUCUGUCAUCCACUUUGGUAAUUGUUGUUUUCUGUUGUUAUCGAACCCGAAACCUCAUAGUUAAAUGAUACAAGUGAACAAUAAGUGUUAAAAUUAAUUAGGGAAGCUCUUUCUCUCUCUAGGAAAAAACUCUCUUCCUUCUCUCUAUUCUUAUUCUCUCUAAUUUCUUAACUAGUUCAUGGCUGCCCUUCAGCCGUCGGCUGAGGGGCAAGGAUUAUCACCUACCAAAAAAAAAAUCUUUUUCUCAACUUUUUUCUCAGCCGGCAACAUCUCCUAUGCACAUUCAGCAGGCUUCUGUCUACAAGGGAGAAGCUGCGGUAGUUUUUUCUAAAGCAGAUGCAGACAAACUUGCAGCGCCGUUUCAAUGGGCUUUGGUGGGAAAAUUUUCACACGGCCGACCUUCUUUGGAAGAUAUUCGAAAGUUUUUUGCUUCUUUAAACCUGAAGGAUCAUGUUUCUAUUGGAUUGAUGGAUUAUAGGCAUGUUCUCAUUAAGUGCAUGGCUGAAGCUGACUUCAACAGAAUUUGGAUGAGAGGGAUUUGGCAACUGGGUAAAUAUCCGAUGCGUGUGUUUAGAUGGACAAGGGAGUUUCAUGUGCUUAGGGAAUCAUCUCUGGCUCCGGUUUGGGUAGUUCUUCCAGCUCUGCCUAUUCAUUAUUUCGACAAACAUUCAUUAUUCUCCAUACUUUCUCCAGUAGGAAGACCACUCUUUCCAGAUUCGGCAACGGCAGCUGGGACUCGACCAAGUUUGGCCAGGGUAUGUGUGGAACUCGAUGUAGCGAAAUCUUUUACACAAAGAGUUUGGGUGGCUGUUGAAGGUGAGUCUGGAUUCUGGCAACGUAUUGUGCCAGAGAAUAUGCCAUUAUAUUGUUCAUCUUGUUCACGUUUGGGUCAUUCCCAAGAGCAAUGCAAGAAGAAUGUAACUGAGGUUGGGUCUCGGUAUCUAUAUAAGCAAAACAUGAAGCUGCAGAGGGAUCUACCAUUAGAAGUUAAUAAUAUUCAAGUGUCAAAUUUAGACCUUGUAAACAACCCAGAUGCUAACUUGAACAAAACAACAGAUGCCGUGACUGAUUCCGACGAAGUGCAGCAUCCUGAGAUGGGCAAUUAUGCUGAAAAACUCAAAGGUGCAGUGGUGGAGGAAGUCUGUACUGCCACAAAGGUUCAGGAAGUUAGUCAGCCUGAUGAUCACCUUAUUAAGCUUGGAGUAUCUAAGUUGUCGUCCAAUGCUGAAUUUGAACAACCACACAAUGAUCUUGCAUUGGAGCUGCCGGUACGUGAGGAACGAAGGGAAAUGGAAAACCAGCUGGACAAGGCCCACGGGAAUGAAUACCAAGGGACCCGUUCUGAAACUAAUAUAAAUCCCACAGACAAACUUCUUUGUAAGGCUGACAGAAAUUCUCUUCAUCAUCUAAAUACUGAUCACCAAGUGGUGAUAGUUGCUGCAUCCAAGCCGACAACAUCUGAUGUGCAAGGGAAUUUUAAUACGACUCAUAUGAGGGAGCAAACACUUGUUGGGGAACAAUUGACUAUGCAAAAGCAGUUAGAACAGGUCCACGGAAAUGAUGAAGGGACCCAAGCUACAUCGUCUGAAGCAUCAAAAGUGAAACUUCAGUCCAUGGCCGACAAUAACUCUUUGGAGCAUCUCUAUGUUGAGUUGCGAGGAGUGGAGAAUUACGGUCCUACAGAGCAUGGGAUAGUGGAGGUUAAUUCACCAACUGUUGCAGGAAAUUUGUCUCCCAGACCGGGUGUCCCACAAGAAAAUUUGCCGGAAUCAUCAGGUUCUUCUUUAACUAUUCAUCAAUCAAGGGUGGCUGACCGUAAUCCCAAACAAAAAAGGACAAAAGGUUUGAGGGCUAAUUUGCAAACCGACAAAAUUUUGCGCUCACGGUCAGAGACAUCUUCCAACAACUCAUUCCAGGUUCUUUCUCAUGAUUAAUGGCAUUUUUUGGAAUAUUAGAGGAGUAGCUAAAGCACCUAAUCUACGAAGAUUAAUCAAUUUAGUACGGACACAUCAUUUCCAAUUUGUUGUGAUUUGUGAGCCAAAGUUAGACGUAUCUAAAAUACAGACCAUUCGUCUACAUCUAUUAUUUGAUUACGUGCUUGUUAAUUGUUCAAGUGAUAUUUGGGUGUUCUACAAUAAUCCUUUUCUUUGCUUGAUUGUUGGUAAUUCUGAUCAGCAUAUUUCUCUACAUGUACAAAGUCCCCUAAUUCCUUCUCCAAUAAUUAUGUCCUUUGUCCAUGCUAAAUGCUCAGUUGACGAGCGGCGUGAGUUAUGGUCCUCAUUGUUAGCUGAUAAGCCUAGUUUUCUUCCUUGGUGUAUUGGGGGUGAUUUUAAUGUUAUUGUGGCACCUCAUGAAAAAAGGGGAGGUCGUCCAUUUGCUAUAACAGAAGGAGUGGAAUUUCUGUCUUUCAUGGAGGAGGCUGGAGUAUUUGAUGUUGGCUUCUCAGGACCCAAUUUUACAUGGUCAAACAAUCGACGAAGUAGAGCUCGGAUUUCAAAGAGAUUAGACAGGUUCUUAGUCAACGGGGCAUGUCUGGAUCUUUCUUAUAACAUUUCUGUCCUUCACUUGGCUAGACAUCCAUCUGACCAUUCACCGUUAAAGCUCUCAUUUGUUGCUCAAUCAGAUGCUAAGCCGCGUCCAUUUCGAUUUUUGAAUGUGUGGACGACUAAACCACAACUCUUGGAGGUGAUAAGCCAGGCUUGGAAUCAAGAUGUCAAUGGAUCUCCGAUGCGUGCUCUAUGUUCUAAAUUAUUAGCAACAAGAAAAGCUAUUCAGACAUGGAACAAAGAACACUUUGGAAACGUGAUCGAUAAUAUGCGAUCUGCGGAAAUGGCGGUGCAACGGGCAGAAGAAGUGGUAGAUCAAGAUGAUUCGGAGGAGUGCCAGAUUGAACUCAAAAAGGCUCAGGCGGAGCUGAGACAUGCAUUAUCAAUUGAAGAACAAUUUUGGAGGCAAAAGGCCAGGGUGAAAUGGCUUCGACAGGGAGAUACCAAUUCAAAGUAUUUUCAUGCGAUAGUAAGACAAAGACGGGCUCAAGCUAUGAUUUAUCAUAUCAAAAAAGCCAAUGGUGUUUGGGUGGACAAUGAAGCUGAUAUAGCAAGUGAAGCAACCACCUAUUUCUCUAAACUUUUCUCGGAUUCUUUGGGAUCAUCUGCAGAUAUGCUACACCUAAUUCCACCUAUGAUUUCGGGAGAGGAUAAUGUGAAGUUGGAAGAAAUCCCUUCAAUCGAAGAGGUCUUUAGAGUCCUGAAGGCAAUGGAUGAAGAAAGUGCUGCUGGCCCAGAUGGAUUCACGGGAAAAUUUUUUACUUUUGCAUGGCAAGUCAUCGCCCAAGAUGUCUACAAGGCGGUACUCAGUUUUUUCUGUGGAGUAGAACUUCCUCGUUUCAUCACCUCUACUUCAAUUGUUCUAAUUCCAAAGGUGCCAAAUCCUCAAGAUUUUUCUCAAUUUAGACCCAUCAGCCUAUGUAACUUCUUCAACAAGCUAUUAUCAAGGAUCUUGGCAGACAGAGUGGCAGAAAUAUUGCCAAAAAUUAUUUCUCCCCAGCAGACAGGAUUUGUGAAGGGUCGUAAUAUAACCGAAAACUUCCUACUUGCACAGGAGGUGAUAUCGGGUAUGGCGAAAAAGAAUAGAGGUGGUAAUGUGGUUAUGAAACUAGACAUGUCUAAGGCAUAUGACAGAGUGGCAUGGGGUCAUAUUAUCAAUGUUCUGAGAAGGUUCGAUUUUGGUGAGAGAUUCAUUGAUAUGGUUUGGCGACUGAUUUCUAAUGUCUGGUUUUCCGUCAUUAUAAAUGGAUCCUUAUACGGUUUUUUCAAAUCUUCGAGAGGACUCCGUCAGGGUGACCCAUUAUCACCAGCAUUAUUUAUUAUAGGGGCAGAGGUGUUAUCUAGAGCACUGAAUAAUCUUGUCAUGCAACCAAGAUUUGUGGGUUUCAAAGUUCCAUAUGGAUGCCCGUCUAUUACUCACUUGGCAUUUGCGGAUGAUAUUCUUAUUUUUGCAAAUGGAUCCUCAUUUUCCCUGAAGGCUAUCAUGAAAGUGUUAGAUGAUUAUCAAAGAUGUUCGGGCCAAUUAAUAAAUGUACAAAAAAGCUGUUAUCUAGUUCAUCCAUCUGUAUCAAUGGCAAGACGACGGCUGCUUGAUCGCAUUUCUAGGUUUGCCCGCAAGUCAUUUCCAAUACGCUAUUUAGGGUUUCCGCUCUACAUUGGAAGAUGCAAAUCAUCUUAUUUUGGAGAAGUUUGUCACGCAAUACUAGCAAGGAUUCUGUCUUGGAAAUCAAGGUUACUUUUCUUUGGAGGAAAAAUUAUUCUAAUCAAGCAUGUAUUAUCAUCAAUACCAGUUCACCUAAUGUCAGCUGCAGUGAUUCCCAAUUCGGUGUUUAAAACUAUAGAAAAGGCAUGCUCGGCAUUCCUGUGGGGAUCCUCACCCGAGGAGUCGAAGCUUCAUUGGAUAAGUUGGCCUCAAUUGUGCUAUCCAGUUGAGGAAGGGGGAAUUGGAUUUCGGAGAUUAUGUGACGUCUACAUAGCCUUUUCCUCCAAGUUAUGGUGGAAAUUCCGAACAGAAUCAUCACUGUGGUCAACCUUCAUGAAAGCAAAGUAUUGUAAAUGUUUGCAUCCUUGUCAGGUAGAACUCAGGCCAACGGAUUCGGCAAUUUGGCGAAGGAUGAUCAAUGUGAGCUGACAAGUGGAACUCUCAAUAUUAUGGGUGGCCAAAUAUGGGGCGUGUCAUUUUUGGUACGAUAACUGGUUGGGGAGUGGUGCAUUGUUUCUAAAGGUUCCGGUUAUCCCAAAUUUGACGUUCCGAAACUUCGUAAGCAACGGCCAUUGGGAUUUGAACCUUCUAUACCAUACAUUGCCAAAGGAAAUUGCUUAUUCCAUUUCAGAACAAAUGGCCCCAGAAGAAGGAAGUAUAGCUGAAGUCAUUUGGAUGCCCACAACAACUGGAAAUUUUUCUCUACAAUCGGCUUUUGGGGACAUUAGGUAGGCCCGACCCACGUCUAUGGUAUUUGCUUCCAUUUGGCACACUCGGAUACCUUUGAAAGUUUCAUUUUUCAUGAUGAGACUUCUUCUGAGGAGAAUACCGACACCGGAUAAGUUUCGUAAAUUUGGUUUCCAUUUGCCGUCAAAGUGCUUUUGCUGCACUGAGGCUUCUGAGGAGUCUAUUGAGCAUUUAUUCUCCAAUGGACACAUUGCGUCAUUACUUUGGAAUUAUUUUGGAGGGUUAUGUGGAAUAAAAUUCUCAGGAUCUUUUCUACGAGCACGCAUAGUAGAUUGGUGGUUGUAUUCACAGGAUUCUGAGUUACGAAGGCUUAUUUGUCGUAUUCUUCCUAGUGUAAUUUGCUGGCAGAUUUGGAAGGCAAGGAACAAAGCAAUGUUUGAGGGUGUCCAGAUGCAAUCAUCGGCCAUUCGCCAAGCCAUCUUCUCAGAAGUCCAAUCCAUGGUAGGAAUACAUUUUAAACAACUGAUAAGACUACAAUCUUUUUGUCAAUUGUAUGAUUGGUCAAACGCACCUGGGGGUACAGUUGUAUAUCAAGGUAUCCGCUGGGAAACCAAAGAGACAGGGAGGUAUACUCUUAACACGGAUGGAUGUGCUAAGGGUAAUCCAGGAAUAGGUGGAGGUGGGGACAUACUCCGGGAUUCCACUGGAUUACCAAUGAUUGGUUUUUCGGCAUAUCUGGGAGAAACUACAUGUCUCCGUGCAGAGGCUUGUGCCCUUCUUAUUGGUCUUCAGAUCUGUAUACAUAACGGUUUUGGAAACAUAUGUGUACAAUCAGAUUCAUUGGUUUUAAUUGGGAUCAUUCAACGUCGUACUCAAUGUCCGUGGAAAAUUCGAAGAUACGUCAACCAGAUUUGGCAGUUAUUAGAUGAUCCACCUAGAUUCACGCACUGCUAUCGGGAGGCUAACACAGUUGCUGAUGCUUUAUCUAAUGUGGGUAUAUCUCAUCCAGAUAAACAAAUUGAGAUUUAUGACACCUUCAGUACAUUCCCAAGGUUGGCUCGUGGGGCAAUCCGUUUGGACAGAAUAGGGAUACCUUCAAUUAGAAAAAUGAGGAUUAUGUAAGAGGAAUAUUUUGUUAUAUUUUCCAUGAAUAAAUAAAAAAAAAAUCUAAAAAAAAAAAAAUUAUACAAGCCCUUCUGCUUGCACCAACAUCCGUUGGUAAAGAGAACUUGCAUAAGAGAGAGAGAGAGAGAGAGAUUACUUUGAACAGUUGGUGUCACAGGUAAUGUUAAUUUUUGGAAUUUUAACAUUACAAAAUCUAGGGAUGCUAUUAGCAUUCUUGAUUUGAUCGUCAGUAGCCAAUCCAAGCAAGGGUUUGAAGCAAAAACAAACACGCUGACGAUCAGCUUUGGUUCUUGCCAAGCUGACGAUCGAUAUACCGGACUCCAUUGCAGCAAGCAGGAUCAACUUGUCCCCCACUCCUAACAAAGCUAAGGCAGGGAAAGAGGUCCAUGGCCACCAUAACACAAGACAUUUGUACUUGCCCUCUACUGUAGAAACUCAUAAUCAACAUGGACAUGAGAACUACUAGUGCUACUCUUUUGAUUAGUCCUGAUGAGUUAGCCAUAGUUGAGAUUUCCAUGGGAUCAGUGAUUUUGAGGAAACAAAACUUCUUGGGGCUCGUGGAAGUUUUUCGCUUGAGUUAUUACAUGGCAUAUAGCAAUUUUGCCUAGUAUUUGUAUAGGCAGAUAGGCGAUAGAUUGGAUGAGAAGGGAUAGUAUUUAUUACAUGGCUUGUCCGUUAAAAAAGUCUUAAUUUGGGAUUCCAAUUACUCAAAUGUGUGAACAAUUUAUUGGCUAAUCUAAGCUGUAAAUUGUCUUUUUAUCCUUUCUUGGCGAUAUCAUCCCCAUGAACAAGCCAAGUGUCUCCAGAAAAUAUGGCAUGUAUAGACAUAUCAUAAAUGUGAAUAUUUCCCAUAAUCAAUCUGUGAACAAUAUUAUGUGAAGUGAUGAGUGUGUGUGUAUAUAUAUAUAUAUAUAUAUACACGAAUUCAUACAUAUAUGCUUGAGAUAACAUAAUACAUAACAUUUGGCAUAUUCUUUCACUGGUAUUAAUAAUGAUAAAUUUUUACAAUCCAUUCAAGAUUGCAAAGUGAUGCAACGCAUCUCAAUUGUCCAUCAAGCUCACUUCACCCUGCAAUACAAUUUUGCAGUUAGGCACAUUAAGUAUUUAAUUAGAAAACAUUGCAAAACUCAAUAUACAAAUCAAUCCUCCUCAAGAAGGUCACAACACGAAAGGAGGUGCAUGAGCAUUCAACGAGAUAACUAGGAAGGGCUGCAGUCGUCCCCCUCAGACUUUAGAAAGUUUUUAAAUAAGUACCACUUGAAAGUUCGUCAGUUUCGCCCACCAAAUUGUAAAGAUGUUUUAAUUGUAUUGAUUAUGGAAUGAUUUAUACGUGAUAAUUUUUGGCCCUGAUAUUAGAAGCUCUGCAUUCAUUUAUGAAGACUAUAACCAUUUUCUUUUUUUCUUUCUUGGCUUUUCUAUUUUCAUACGCUCAAACCUGUAAACUCUGAUGUCGAAAUCUGUACAAUAUAUAAAGCAAGAGGAGCUCUACAUGGCAUCAACACAAUUUAAUUUGUCAUCUUUUAAACAUCCAUUUAUACCCUUAAACUUACUAAGAAAAAGUUGAAUUGCUCCCCAUUUAUCAAAAGAAAAACACACUUCCAAGAGGAAGACGAUUUAUCCCUAGUACAUAUCCAGUUCUAUGUUUCUAACACUUUCUGAAACACUUUAGAACUGGAAAAUUGGUAUGCACUGCCUAAACUUAUUCAAUGAAUACCAUUUGUAUCUAAAAAUAAUUGCCAUCGUGGAAAAUUUCAUCCUUCGAUAAGUACCCAUGUUCUAAAAAACCUUCCACACUUUUUGUAAUUUCUUCUUCAUGUUUUUUUCGUCAUCUUGUACAAUUAAAAGUACAAUUAUAGAGAUUAAAUAAAGAGUGUGCAGGAUAGAGCAUUACUUUGAGCAGUCGAUGUUGCGAGAAAUCUGGAAUGGGAGAUUAACACCACACAGAUGAGGGAUUUGAGCAGCAUUCUUGAGCUGACCAUUAGUAGCACUCUGAGCAACAGAUUUCAAGCAAGAACAAACACUCUGGCGAUCAGUUUGAGUCUUAGCCAGGCUGAGUAGAGUCUUAAUCCCACUACAGCAAGCAGGUGCAACUUUUCCUCCAUUCAGGACGAAGCUAAGGCAUGGAAACAGGUCGUUGUCAACAGUGUCACAGGAGAUUUGUGCUUGCCCUCCAUGGGAGAAACUCAUGAUAAGCAUGGAUACGAAGAUUACAAGAGUCCCUAGUUUGAGGAGUCCUGAUGAAUUAGCCAUUGUUGAGUUUGCCUUCAAAGUAAGAAUGGUGAAGAAAGAAACUGAUCUUUUCUUCUGGACCUGGAUUUUUACAGUUGGGUUGUUAUACAGACUAUAGCAGUUUGAAUACAAUUUAUAGAGGUGACUAGCCAAUAGAAUGUGAUGCGUUGGGGUAAAAAUUGUUUCCUUUUUGAUAGUGAUGUGUGGUGUGUACCUUAAACAAUGAACAAUUAUUUGGACCAUCUGUCUGGUAGCAUUUCAUAGAAAGUUCUUCUUCUUCUUUCAAGUAAAGGAAUCAAAUUAUAUGAGAGAAAAUCUGGAUUGGUUGUUAAGAUAUUAGUCAUAGCCGUAGUUUUGAAACUAAAACUUUGCUGGGAUAUAAAGGACUAGUCGUGGAAGAUAAAGAAGAAAGUUUGGCUUAAUUUUUAAGGCAGUUAUACUUCCCUGGAUGAGGGGCUAAUGUAGUGAUAGGGUAUAAUUUGUUAGUAAUUUUAUUAUUAAUUUCCCCUUCUAUUCCGAACAAAUAUUGUGUUAAUUGCUGAUAUUUACUCAUAUUUGAUAUCUGAAUUCAAUUCCAGGAGUGGAGCAGAUAACUACAACAAGAGGGACUUCUGGAUGCAAAUUUGGGAGACUCCAGUAGAAAGCCUCAAUUGGCGGGGACCACAAAAGCUACAAGAGCUAGUAAAGGCAACGUACAAAGCCUUAGGAACAAGAAGUAAUUCAGCAGGCUUGUGGCUAAUUGGUGGGGACCGCGCAGAGGCUCAAAACAAGGAGAUGAAUUCGGCAGCUUGUGGCCAACUGGUGGGGACCACUGGAUAUCUUUCUUUUGGUUUUAAAUAGGGAACAAACGUACAGAAGACGGCUGGCUUUUAUUUUGGACCUCUAGUUUUAGUCUUUUGUUUUAGUUUUAGUUCUUCUUUCCUCCUGACUGGCCUCUGACACACGUCAGGUGUUCGACAAUAUUCCCCAACGGGAAAAACAUCUUUUAUUCCUUGCUUCUUAAUAGAAAACGCAAUGCCUUUGCAAUCUAUUAAUGCAUGUGGUGAUUUAAUUAUGCGGCGUGGCUAAGUCUUCCGUCUAGUCAAGGGUCAACUUGACGGCGCAGUCCCGAAAAUCUGUGAGAUCUAAUUAGUUUUCACGUGUUCCUUUAUUUAUUAAUAUUUGCACGUUGUCUACUUGAAUUUUCAUGGGAUUAUUUUAUUAAUUGGAUGUCAAGGGCCCGAUGUUCAAUGUGAUUUAUUAAUCUCGUGCCAAUUUAGUUAAUUAAAUCCGUAAUUGUUUGAUUGAUUAAUAUUAGUGGCAACUGGUGUGUUUACACAUUAGGGGAAUGUGCGAUCUAAUUUAAAUAACCCUCGUAGCGCGUUAUUGGUUAGGGCUAGGUUUUUCUAAUACUAAUGCAAUUGGGAAAUUAAUUCCUACGGUCGUACCUAGGAGUAUUUUCUGGUUAGAGAUGAUCAAUGGUCGUACCUUGGUUAUCAAUAAUUUAAGGAAAAAUUGGUCGUCAGACUAUAACUAGCCUAUUAAUAAAUUAAGUGAACCUCUCAUGCAUCAAUGAUCGGAUAAAUGGACUGUGCCUGAGUAGUUGCAUCCUUGGCUAGAAUUUAUUCAUUCUUGAUUUAACUCCUGCUUUAGUUGUGCUAGUUAGUUAUUUAUUUAUUUUUGUUGAAUUAUUCAAUUGAUUUUAGUUUCAUUCUGGUGAAAUCCCCCCUUACCAAUUGGCAUUUGAAAAGAAACAAAUAUCCCCAGUCCCUGAGGAGACGACCCUACUUGCCACUGUCUACUAUUCAGUAAUCUUUGUCACCUAAUUAAUUCUGGUAUAUCGGGUUAAGCAAACUCUUCGGGAACAGGGUGAAUCAAGUAACCCAUUGCACACCUAGAGUCCCUGCUCCAGUACCUAGGAUUAAUUAUCGACUGCUUUUAGUGGUAGUUAGGAUUUUAUUAUUAUUAUUGCACAGGUUCGGCACCUGUCAAUUUUUGGCGCCGUUGCCGGGGACUGGCGUUAUUAUUUGUUUCUUUAUUAAGUUCAUUUUUGCUCUAAUUUUCUGGUAUUUUUCUAGUGUAUGCCUAGGUCUUCUCGUACAGGUGAAUUGAUUUUUGACCCUGAAGUAGAGAAGACCGCGCGUAGAACGAGAAAGGAAACCAGACAGCUCAGAGAAGAGCACUCCAGUGCUGCAUCUCAGAGAUCUGAGCCCGAAGUUGAACCAUCAGAUUCGUUUGGUGACACUUCAAGUGAUUCGUACCAAGAGAACGUCGCCAUGGCAAACACACAAACAUUAAGGGAGUUGGCUGCUCCUAACUUGACCCAACAACCUCUUUGCAUAACUUUCCCUCGCCUUAGUGAGAAUGCAGCUUUUGAAUUAAAACCUGGUUUAAUACAUUUGUUGCCUGUUUUUCAUGGUCUGCCAGGAGAGGAACCCCACAAACACAUGCAGGAAUUUGAUGUAGUGUGUUCAAGUAUGAAGCCCUCGGGAGUAACUGAUGAACAAAUUAAAUUAAGAGCCUUCCCUUUUUCUCUCAAGGAUUCGGCAAAGGACUGGUUAUACUGUCUACCUGCAGGCAUUAUCACCACGUGGCCAGAGAUGCAGAAAAAAUUUUUUGAAAAAUAUUUCCCUGCAUCUAGAGCUGCUAGUUUGCGAAAGGAAAUAUGUGGCAUCAAGCAAUUUCAGGGGGAGUCCUUAUAUGAAUAUUGGGAGAGGUUCACCAGGCUGCGUACCCGAUGCCCUCAUCACCAAAUAAGUGAUCAACUGCUGAUUCAGUACUUCUAUGAGGGGCUACUGAUGAACGAUAGAAAUAUCAUUGAUGCAGCAAGUGGUGGUGCACUGGUGAAUAAGACUACCCAGGAGGCAUGAGACUUAAUUGAACGAAUGGCAGAGAAUUGCCAGCAGUUUGGUACGAGAGCAGAUGUUCCUACGAGAAAGGUCAACGAGAUAAGUUCAUCUUCCAUUCAACAGCAGUUAUCUGAAUUAACCUCAUUUGUUCGACAGAUAGCUGUAGGAAAUGCACAGCAGGCCAAAGUGUGUGGGAUUUGUACGAAUAUUGGUCAUACCGCUGACUCAUGCCCACAGUUACAAGAGGAGGGAGUUGAGCAAGCAAACAUGGCUGGUAACAUGCCCAUGCCACGUAGACAGUAUGACCCCUAUUCCAACUCAUACAAUCCGGGUUGGAGGGAUCAUCCAAAUCUGAGCUAUGGGGGAAAUAAGCAACAAAAUUUCAUCCCCAAUAGACAGCAGGGCUUCCAGCAACAAUAUCAAACAAGGAAUCAACCAUCCUCUGCCUCAGGUAUGUCCCUAGAAGACAUGGUUAAAACCAUAGCCUCUAAUACUAUGAAAUUUCAACAGGACACUGAGGCCAGCAAUCAAGAGAUGAAAGCACGUAUGCAAAACUUGAAAAAUCAGAUGAGUCAAUUAGCCUCAAUUGUCAACCGACUGGACUCCCAGGGAAAGGGAAAACUUCCAUCUCAACCUGAGGUGAAUCCCAAGAAUGUGAGUGCAAUGACCCUCAGGAGUGGGAAAGAGGUUGAAGGACCAGCGCCAGUGGCUCCGAAGGACAAGAAUGAGGACCGCAUUGAGAAAGAGCUCGAGCAAGAAGGAACGCCCGGCACAAAUAAAGAGGUAAUACGUGACCCAGUGGUUCCAAUUAAACCUAACCCACCACCUUUUCCUAGCAGGUUGGAAAGGCCUAAAAAGCAAGACAAGGAAAAGGAAAUUUUGGAGAUGUUUAGGAAGGUGGAGAUAAAUAUCCCCUUACUUGACGCAAUUAAGCAAGUACCCCGGUAUGCCAAAUUUUUGAAGGACCUAUGCAUCAAUAGAAGGAAACUGAGGGGAGAUGAAAGGAUAAUUGUGGGGGAGAACGUAUCUGCAGUGCUUCAAAGAAAACUUCCACCCAAGUGCGGAGACCCAGGUAUGUUCACUAUCCCUUGUAAAAUAGGGAACACUAGCAUUAGGAAUGCCAUGUUAGAUUUAGGAGCCUCUAUAAAUGUGAUGCCCAAGGCUAUUUAUGCUUCUCUAAAUUUGGGUCCCUUAAAGGAAACUGGCAUUAUAAUUCAAUUGGCUGAUAGGACUAAUGCUUAUCCCGAUGGGGUGAUAGAAGAUGUGUUAGUGCAAGUGAACAAUUUAGUGUUCCCUGCUGAUUUUUAUAUUCUUGAUAUGGGUGACGAACGUUCUCCAAAUCCAUCACCAAUUUUGUUGGGGAGGCCCUUCUUGAGCACAGCUCGUACAAAAAUUGAUGUUAGUGAGGGCACCCUAACGAUGGAAUUUGAUGGAGAAAUAGUUCAUUUCAGUAUAUUUGAGGCCAUGAAAUAUCCAUGUCAUUCUAAUGCUGUUUUUGCUGUGAGUGUAAUUGACCCUUUGGUGCAAGAAGUAUUUGAGAUUAAUGGCAGGGAUGAAUUAGAGAUAGCAAUCACCAAACAUUUGGAUCUGGAAGCAGCCUGCGAAAUGGAGUUAGACAUCAGUUUGCAAAGAAUGGUUGGAGCCUUGCAUUCACUAGGCCAAAGUCCUCUAAGGUAUGAUGUUGCUCCUAUAUUUGUGCCUGAACCGCACCUAAAGUUAUUACCUUCUAUCGUGCAGGCACCUGAAGUGGAGUUGAAACCCCUGCCCAACCAUUUAAAGUAUGCCUAUCUGGGUGAAAAAGAGACGUUACCAGUGAUAAUCUCAUCCAAAUUAUCACCCACGGAGGAGGAUAAGCUGCUACGGGUUUUAAGGGAGCAUAAGGAAGCUAUAGGGUGGACAAUUGCGGACAUCAAGGGUAUAAGCCCGUCCGUAUGUAUGCAUCGAAUUCGCUUGGAAGAGGAUGCUAGACCGAUAAGACAACCACAAAGAAGAUUGAACCCCAACAUGAUGGAAGUGGUCAAGAAAGAGGUAAUCAAGCUUCUGGACGUAGGAAUUAUUUUUUCUAUCUCAGAUAGCCCAUGGGUGAGUCCGGUCCAAGUGGUGCCAAAGAAAGCAGGGGUAACUGCGGAGGAAAAUCGUGAAGGGGACCUCGUUCCAAUUCGAAAGCCUACGGGUUGGCGCCAGUGCAUCGAUUACCGCAAAUUGAACGCAGUGACCAAGAAGGAUCAUUUUCCCCUUCCAUUCAUCGAUCAAAUGGUUGAAAGGUUAGCUUGUCGUGCCUAUUAUUGUUUUUUGGAUGGUUUCUCUGGUUAUUUUCAGAUAGCAAUUGCGCCAGAGGAUCAAGAGAAAACAACUUUCACUUGCCCCUUUGGCACUUUUGCCUAUCGAAGGAUGCCUUUUGGAUUGUGUAAUGCCCCUGCAACAUUCCAGAGGUGCAUGAUUAGCAUUUUUUCUGAAUAUGUAGAGAGAAUAAUUGAGGUAUUCAUGGAUGACUUCAGUGUCUAUGGUGAUAGUUUUGACGAUUGUUUAGAUAACUUGACAUUGAUUUUAAAAAGAUGCAUUGAAACUAACCUAGUGCUCAACUGGGAAAAAUGUCACUUCAUGGUUGAGCACGGGAUAGUUCUAGGACAUGUAGUGUCAUCUAGAGGAAUUGAAGUUGAUAAAGCUAAAAUAGAUGUGAUAUCUGCUUUACCUUACCCCGUAACUGUACGGGAAGUUCGUUCUUUUCUAGGACAUGCAGGUUUCUAUCGCAGAUUUAUCAGAAAUUUCUCAAAGAUCGGGGCACCACUUUUUAGGCUUUUGCAAAAGGAUGUCAGUUUUGAAUUCAACGAGGAGUGCAAAGAAGCGUUCGAGAAGUUGAAGAAAUUACUCACUUCUCCACCGAUCAUCCAACCUCCUGAUUGGAAUCGGCCAUUCGAAAUUAUGUGUGAUGCCAGCGACUACUCCGUGGGAGCAGUUUUGGGACAAAGGGUGGAGAAAGCGGCGCACGCAAUAUAUUAUGCCUCUAGAGCUUUAAAUGGCGCCCAACUCAAUUACUCUACUACGGAGAAAGAACUCUUAGCUGUUAUUUUUGCUUUGGAAAAGUUUAGACCUUAUUUGUUAGGUGCUAAAGUAAUUGUGUAUUCUGACCAUGCAGCUUUGAGGUACCUACUGACCAAGAAGGACGCUAAACCCCGCUUGAUAAGAUGGAUAUUGCUCCUGCAGGAAUUUGACUUGGAAAUCAGAGAUAAAAAAGGAGCAGAGAAUCUAGUAGCUGACCACCUAAGUCGAAUACUGGUAGCAGAGGAGGAAUUACCAUUAAGGGAGUCUUUCCCUGAAGAGCAUUUACUUUCUAUUAAUUUAACUUUGCCCUGGUAUGCUGAUAUUGUUAAUUUUCUAGUUACUGACAAGUUUCCUGCAGGAUGGCCUAAGGCAAAAAGGGAUAAGUUAAGGAGUGACACAAAAUCUUACAUCUGGGAUGACCCUUACCUCUGGAAGCGUGGUGCCGACCAAAUCAUUCGCAGAUGUGUAGGUGACAAUGAAUUCCAGUCUAUUUUAGCUUAUUGUCACUCUUUUGCAUGUGGAGGUCACUUUGGACCAAAGAGAACUGCUCGUAAGGUUCUAGAGAGUGGAUUCUAUUGGCCAACCCUCUUUAAGGAUGCCUACUUAUUUUGUAAGUCAUGUGAUAAGUGUCAAAGAGUAGGUAAUAUUUCUCGUAGGGAUCAAAUGACCCAAACCCCAAUGAUUUUUGUUGAGAUUUUUGACGUUUGGGGUAUUGACUUUAUGGGCCCUUUUCCUUCGUCUUAUGGUUUUCUAUAUAUAUUGCUUGCUGUAGACUAUGUUUCGAAAUGGGUGGAAGCAAAGCCCACUCGUACUAAUAAUUCCAAAGUGGUUGCAGAAUUUGUCAAAUCUAACAUUUUUGUCCGCUUUGGGAUGCCGCGAGCAAUUGUAAGUGAUCGGGGUACCCAUUUCUGCAACAAGACGAUUGCUGCGCUUUUCAGGAGGUACGGUGUCUUGCACAAAGUGUCCACUUCUUACCAUCCUCAGACAAACGGCCAGGCGGAAACGUCGAACCGGGAGAUCAAAUCAAUUUUGGAAAAGAUGGUUCGACCCGAUAGGAAGGAUUGGAGCAUGAGACUUGAAGAUGCAUUGUGGGCAUAUAGAACGGCGUACAAGACGCCAAUCGGCAUGUCCCCCUAUCGUUUAGUAUUUGGAAAGCCAUGUCACCUCCCUGUCGAGUUCGAACAUAGAGCAUUUUGGGCGGUCAAGCAAUGCAACAUGGAUAUCGAAGAGGGCGGAAUUCAAAGGAAGCUACAGUUACAAGAAUUGGAGGAGAUUCGAAAUGAAGCCUACGAGAAUGCUGUGAUUUAUAAGGAGAAAAACAAGAUUUUUCAUGACCAGCAGAUCUCUAGGAAGACGUUUGAAUGUGGGCAAAAAGUUUUACUGUACCACUCAAAGUUGAAGUUAUUUCCAGGUAAGUUACGUUCCCGUUGGAUCGGUCCCUUUAUGGUGACUAAUGUGUUUGAUUAUGGUGCAGUGGAAAUUCAGAGUCUAAAGACGGAGAAGAAAUUUGUGGUGAAUGGUCAUCACCUCAAGCCAUAUUAUGAUGGGGCUCCAGUUGAGCAAGUAGAGAUGACGCAUUUGGAGGACCCAAUUUGCUUGGUUUAAGCAAAUUAUGGGUUAUGUCUAGCCAAAGACACUAAAGAAAGGCGCUAAUUUGGGAGGCAACCCGAAUAUUAGUCUUGUUAUUUCUAGUUAUUUUGUUAUUUCUAGUUGUUCUUCUUUUGCGUUGGGUCAUUUACUCGUUGGGUAGUAUCUGCAUUAAUAUUUCCUUCACUGCAAUCAGGAAGUGAAAUCUUGGCGUGCCCGCGCGGUGUUUGUGUUUUCUGAGACCAGAGGACGAAGACUAAUCUUGGCGUGCCCACGCGGUGUUGGACCACCCAAACCAUGUUUUUGUAAUUCAAAAAAAAAAAAAAUAAGAAAAAUUAAUAAUUAAUAAUAAUUUAAAAAAAAAAAGGAAGAAAUUUUUCAGCAAUUUCCAGCUGAAACGAUUACAUUAGCGUAAUAUUUUUUUUUUUAAAAAAAAAAAUUUCUCUCUUCUCUUUUCUUUUUCUUCUUUCUUUCUUUUUCUUCUUUCUUUCUUUUCUUUUUCUUCUUCCCCGCUGCUUUUCCCUUUCUCUUGUUUCUUCAACCAAAGCCGCCGCCGCCCCCAAGCUCCAUCGCGCGCCGCCUGACCGAGCUCCGCGACCACCGCCACCAGCUUUCGCGCGCCGCCGCUGUCACCAGCUGCUCCUCCAAGCCACCAUCGCCGGCUGCCAGCGCGCGCAUCCACCAGCGACACCAGCUGUCCUCCAGCUUCGUCCGCAACCAGAGCCGCUGCCAGAUCUUCUCUACCUCUGCAGCUGCGCGAGUUCACGCCAGGACGCCGCCUGCGCCGUCGUCUUUUCCCCCCUCUCCCUCCAAGCUCCAGCAGAUUCCACCGCGCGCGACCAGAACAGCGCCUCGACCAGCACAGCGCGCGUUCACCAGGGCAGCAGCUCGCUCACAGUCGAGCCCAGGCGCGACUUCACAGUCGCGUUUCCUCCUCGCGCGGGUAGACCAGAAGCUACUUCUGGUGACUUCGUCCUCUGUUUUUCUUUUUCCUGUUUUUUUUUAAUCGUUAAGUAGCUGAGGCCAGAGCAAUAAUUUUUCAUUAGCUGAUGACAGAUUUUUGAUUUACUAGUUGAGAACGGGAAUUUUGUGCUUAUUUGGGUGCUGUGGUAUUUGGGGAGAAUCUUUACUCGAUUUGACUGUUUAUUUAGUUUUUGGGGGGGGUUUUUGCUCUGUUUAUUUGCUUAAUUAUUUUCUGGGGUUAAUUAUGGGUGGAAUUCGAUUUAAUUGCUGUCCCAUUUGAGGGUGCUCUCUGGUCUUGCUUAUAUUGUUGAAUUUUAAUUGGGUUUUGACUACAUGAGAUUUCUAUUGCAUCUGGGGGAUAAACUUUGCUGACUUUUGUGCCAGUUUAUACGUUUGGAAUUUGUUGGGGCCAAUCUGGGAGAGACGUGUCUGAUUGGUGUGUUUGGCUUCAUCACAUGUCUUGGGCUGGCCACUGGAUUUGAAUUUUCCUUGUGUAUGUACCAGUGGUACUGGUGCGGGUAGUUUCUAUAGUAUUUGUUACUCCUGUGUUCGUGGUUGCCUAAUCGACUACUAGGCAUUUGUGGGUGAAUUGCUGCGAUUGUUUGCUUAUUGGGGGCGCCGUGACGCUUAUAUUUGCUUUUUGGGGGCGCCCGUGACGCUUUCAUUGCUACUUGGUUGUUUUGGGUUGCCUGUUGGUCACCAUGGUGAAGCCUCGAUCUUCUUCCAAGUCUAGGACCCCUAGGACUCCUCAGCCCCCUCCACCCCAGCACUCCAUUCCCACCUCUGAUCCCUCGCACGAUCCGUCCUCCUCUGGGAGGCGGGCUCGUCUUGGACGACAAAGAGGCGUCCAAAUCUCUGACCCUGCACAUUUUGGGGGUCAUUUGGACUUCACCAGGGCAGCCGACAAGAGGCGCUAUGAGGCGGCGUGUGAGCGACGGAUUAUUCCUUGUCGUUAUAGGGACGCCGCCACCUUGGGCCUUCUGAAUAUUAGCGUCCCCUUCCACGAUUUGAUUGAGGCCAUCGGGUGGCGACCCUAUUCUCGUAUCACUGACCUCCCAGCCUUUGUGGAGUUAGUUAGGGAAUUCUAUGCCACAUUUGAAUUCGACCUUCCCACUGGUUACACAGUUUCCACCCCUGAUGUCAUCCGCUUCCGUUUAAUGGGUCAGGAAUUCCACCAUUCCAUAACCGACUUCAACCUGGCCUUUGGUUUCAUUGAUCCUGCCUAUGCUGAGUCUAGGGAGUAUGCCGAGAGUGCAUGUGACUUUGUCCAACCAUUUUUCUCCCGUUAUCGCUUUAUUUGGGAUGAGAUGUCCGUAGACAGGGAUAACUAUGACCCCCGUCUUUCUAAGGGUUCUUAUCUGAAGGACCCGGCCUCUCGCUAUAUCCACCGUUUUUUUGGCCUAUAGUUUCUCGGGUAGGCGAGAUAGUUCGGGCAUUCUAUCUAAGCCCGAAUUUUUCUUUAUAUGGUGCAUGCAUAACAAGAUUAAGGUUAAUCUGGGGUGCUGGCUCGCGUCUCAGUUCAAGUCCAUUUUGCCUAAAAAGAAGCGCCCCUUGAUUCUUGGGUCUUAUAUUACUCACUUGGCUAUGAAUUUGCAUGUCCUUGAUAUUUCUAACCAUAACUUGCAUAUAGCCUGUCAAAUGGAGCCUUUGGAUAUCCCAUGCUUAGAGAAAAUGGGCUUAGUUCGGGAGGGCGACAAUGGCUGGGAGGUAGUUCCACCGGGGCCGCUACGCCCUCCCCCUCGGUCAUCUUUUGCCCGAGCUUCCACUGAGGGCGGCGACCCUGGCCCGUCUUCCUCCGCUCCGCCACCUACCGCCCCAUCGGCCGACGAUUGGACCCAACUCCGGAACACCGUUGAUCGACUGGAGACUCGCGUAACUCACAUUGGCAUCAACUUGCAUAACAUGGCUCAAAACCUGGCUGCGUUUAUGCAGCAGGCCGGCGUUCCACCUCAGUUCGCGCCUGAUCCACCCCUGUUUUGACGAUUACAGGGAAGUACCGUUGCCCCUCUCCUUACUUUUUGCUGUUACAUUAUCACAUUGAGGGCAAUGUGUGAAUUAGGUGUGGGGGGGUCAGUUUGGGUGCUGAAUUUUUUCGCUAUUUUCCAGUUUAGGUGUUCUUGCUAUGCUUUUAGUAAGUGUUUUCUGUGUAGGUGUUGUCCCUUUAUUCCCUUUUUAGUGUCUUUCCCUUGCUUCUAUCUUGAUGAAGAUUUUUGGCAGCUGACUUUUUCUUGUUAGUUGUGGCUUGUACUAUGAGUUAAGUUACAGUGGCAAGUAAAAGCAUGCUUUCUUGGUGAAUACUUUGAGUUUAACGACGUGGUGCAAUUUAUGGCUAACUUGUUUAGGCAAUAUAAAUAUUUUGCUGGCACUGUUGUGUAGUUUGGUCUCCUGUUUACUUUAGUCUCCAUAUUUAGGACAUGACGCAGGCUAUGAUCUAUAAUUAUUUGGUAUCUUGGUGUUUUAUGGUGAAUAACGUAUGGCUAUACUCCGCUAGUGUCGCCACCCAGUAACCGGGGGUGUUCACCACACAUGUCGGCUCUCGCGUCAAAAAGUGACGAUACCUAUGAGUAAGUGGUCCUGGAGCUGUGAAAAGUUGAGUAACUGGGCUCUUUCAUCUAAAAAUGUCAGAGUUCACGUCAAAAGACUUGAAUAGCUCGGGACUAAGCAUUAUUCGUGCAAUGUAAAGAAAAAAAAAAGAAAAAAAAAAGAAAACAAAAAGAGAAAACAAAAAGGAAAAAAUCAGAUGUGGCAAAUAUGUGAGUUUAUGAUCAUGUUAGCCUGCCGAUCCUUGGUUCGUAUGGUUGAGAUUUUGGGUGCCAGUUGACUUAAUUAUUGACUGUUGCUAGUUUGUAUUUGGAUUCCCUAAGCGAAUUAGCCAUGAAUUGGGCAGGUCUAUGAACUUAGGAGCUAACCGGGAGAGACAUGUCAUGACACUUAGUCACUAGAUCUUGAUUUUGGGUAUAAGCACAGCUGGCACUGAAAGUGUGAAAGCUAGCCUGUGUUGAGUUGAAUUGUCCCCAUGCUUGAGGGCAAGCAUGAUUUAGGUGUGGGGGGAAUUGAUAGGGUAUAAUUUGUUAGUAAUUUUAUUAUUAAUUUCCCCUUCUAUUCCGGACAAAUAUUGUGUUAAUUGCUGAUAUUUACUCAUAUUUGGUAUCUGGAUCCAAUUCCAGGAGUGGAGCAGAUAACUACAACAAGAGGGACUUCUGGAUGCAAAUUUGGGAGACUCCAGCAGAAAGCCUCAAUUGGCGGGGACCACAAGAGCUACAAGAGCUAGUAAAGGCAACGUACAAAGCCUUAGGAACAAGAAGUAAUUCAGCAGGCUUGUGGCUAAUUGGUGGGGACCGCGCAGAGGCUCAAAACAAGGAGAUGAAUUCGGCAGCUUGUGGCCAACUGGUGGGGACCACUGGAUAUCUUUCUUUUGGUUUUAAAUAGGGAACAAACGUACAGAAGACGGCUGGCUUUUAUUUUGGACCUCUAGUUUUAGUCUUUUGUUUUAGUUUUAGUUCUUCUUUCCUCCUGACUGGCCUCUGACACACGUCAGGUGUUCGACAAUAUUCCCCAACGGGAAAAACAUCUUUUAUUCCUUGCUUCUUAAUAGAAAACGCAAUGCCUUUGCAAUCUAUUAAUGCAUGUGGUGAUUUAAUUAUGCGGCGUGGCUAAGUCUUCCGUCUAGUCAAGGGUCAACUCGACGGCGCAGUCCCGGAAAUCUGUGAGAUCUAAUUAGUUUUCACGUGUUCCUUUAUUUAUUAAUAUUUGCACGUUGUCUACUUGAAUUUUCAUGGGAUUAUUUUAUUAAUUGGAUGUCAAGGGCCCGAUGUUCAAUGUGAUUUAUUAAUCUCGUGCCAAUUUAGUUAAUUAAAUCCGUAAUUGUUUGAUUGAUUAAUAUUAGUGGCAACUGGUGUGUUUACACAUUAGGGGAACGUGCGAUCUAAUUUAAAUAACCCUCGUAGCGCGUUAUUGGUUAGGGCUAGGUUUUUCUAAUACUAAUGCAAUUGGGAAAUUAAUUCCUACGGUCGUACCUAGGAGUAUUUUCUGGUUAGGGGUGAUCAAUGGUCGUACCUUGGUUAUCAAUAAUUUAAGGAAAAAUUGGUCGUCAGACUAUAACUAGCCUAUUAAUAAAUUAAGUGAACCUCUCCUGCAUCAAUGAUCGGAUAAAUGGAUUGUGCCUGAGUAGUUGCAUCCUUGGCUAGAAUUUAUUCAUUCUUGAUUUAACUCCUGCUUUAGUUGUGCUAGUUAGUUAUUUAUUUAUUUUUGUUGAAUUAUUCAAUUGAUUUUAGUUUCAUUCUGGUGAAAUCCCCCUUACCAAUUGGCAUUUGAAAAGAAACAAAUAUCCCCAGUCCCUGAGGAGACGACCCUACUUGCCACUGUCUACUAUUCAGUAAUCUUUGUCACCUAAUUAAUUCUGGUAUAUCGGGUUAAGCAAACUCUUCGGGAACAGGGUGAAUCAAGUAACCCAUUGCACACCUAGAGUCCCUGCUCCAGUACCUAGGAUUAAUUAUCGACUGCUUUUAGUGGUAGUUAGGAUUUUAUUAUUAUUAUUGCACAGGUUCGGCACCUGUCAUGUAGCAACUGUGGCAUCACGAAAUUGGGUAGAGAAUGCUAUUAUAACAUUUUGUAACAUUCCAAAUAGACCAUUCGAUCGUUAGGCAGAAAAAAAAAAAUCUUCUAAAUAUUCUUUUUACACAUUUUUCAAUCACCUUUUAACCUUACAUUUAUCACAUCCUACUAGCGUAAUUUUUUCCGAAAACAUCCCCUAAUAUAUGCAAUCCAAGUGGGCUUUUUUUUUUUAUAUUAUUAUGUUAGUAAGACACCAUUUCAAAAUAGUUUACAGAGUCCAACCAUCUUAAUCUUUGCAUUUUUGAGCAGCAUCAAGGAAGCUGAUUUAAUUAAUCAGCCAAUAAAUAAGUUCCCAAAGUACAAAAGACACCAGAUACAGAAAAAGAUCAACAGUACUUAGCUAUCAAGUGAAAAGGUUGUAUCCCCUCUUGGCUGUUGUUAAACGGCAAAGUUGCCUUGCGAGAUCGCAUAAAAUGAAACUUCGUUCUACUUAGGAUGUAUCACCUCUUGGCUGUUGUUAAACAGCAAAGUUGCCUUGCUAGAUCACAUAAACUAAAACUUCGUUCUACUAACUGAUGCAGCCGUUAGACAAGAACGUUAGAACCCAUGUCCAAACAAUCACCAACUUUGGCAUUUGUUGCUUUUUUUUUUGUUUUAAAUUAAUAUUUGUUUACCACUUUUCUGUAAUGUAGCCAAAGUUAAAAAAAAAAAAAGAGAAAAUUGUCAAAUUAUCAAAUCCUGGAAUUAGAACACAAGUACUGUCCCAUGGAAGAUGUAAUUGUAUGCUAAUACACGGACCCAAUUUAAGAAAAUUAGCUAAGAAGCUAAAAAAUGAAACAAGGCAGCCUAAAACCUAGGAUUAACUAACUCUGACAGUGCAAGAGUCUUCUUUACAUGGGUGGAUCUAGAUGCAUGACAUGACAUGACAUGAAUAGAAUGAAAAUUUUAAGUUUGAAUAGAUACUAUGUGUGAUGCAUCUUAAAUUGUUCGUAUAUGGAAUCUUUAUACUUUUAGCCUAGCAAAAACAGAUGCAGGACUACAUAAAAUGAGUUGGGCAGUGUAUUUAAUUGUCAAAAAGCAACAUCCAAUUGCAGUAAUUGGGGGUUAGAAUUUAUAUAAAAUUUCAUUGCCAGGCACGCGACUUUUUCUAGUAGAAAUUUAGAAAAAUCGGUCAAGUGCACCAAAUGUGUUUAAAUAUUGUAAUAUUGUGUACUUGAUCUAUUUUCGUCUAAGUUCGAGUACUUGAAUCACUUAAGGAUCAAAAUUUAGGCACCAAACUUUACUCUUCCAAGAAUUAAGGAAUGACAUUGGUUCUUCAUUUUCACCAAGCUUGUCCCCUUUUAUGGAAUUUACUCGGUUUUAGUUUAAUACGAGCUGAUUAAUUAUUGAAUAUGUAGCCAAAAUUGAAAAAGAAAAAAGAAAAGCAGUGAAAUUGCCAAAUCCUUAAUCUUGAUUCCUGUAUAGAAUCUUUGCCACCAUCAUUAUAGCGUUAUGACUGUUCCCUGGCAAAUGUAGAAGUAUAAUGAAACACGAAAUGAACUUCGAGAACGUAUACAUCAUUAUUUAACUACAAAUUGUAUAAAGAUAGCAGAGAAGCCAUAAACAGAACUAGUUUCUUAUUUAAUUUUUCAUAAGCUACCAAAAUCAGACAUUUAAAACCAAAAAAAAAAAAGCAAGAGUGAAUAAGAGAGCAAAAGUGAGUAUAUAAAUCGGACAUUGCUUCACAAAUUUAUGUUCUAGGGAACAUAUAUAAGGCACGGAAUAACACAUUCCUUCAUAUGUAAUUGUCCAUAAGUAACAGAAACGGAAAUCACUUGGAAAAUAUUACAAUCCAUAGAACCAGUCAAGUUAAAACAUUAAUGCGAGACAUCCCCACCAACGUGUAGCCAUCAAGUGCUCAGUAAUAAAUUGAGUUCACCCUGCAAUACAGAAUUGGAAAGAAUAGAAGGAUUAAUAACUUGAAUAGCAAAUUUGCUAAUAUUAAAUAGGAUUAAUUUUUUCUACAGUGACAAUGUAUAUACUAUUAGCAUUGAAUGAAUGAUAACUGUGCAAUGGUUGAAUUUGAAAUUCAAUUUUUACACAUUUAUAUCAUGGAUCCAACAGUGAUAGUAUAUACACUAUCAGUAUAUAUAAGAUUUACUCUACUGAAUAUUCCUCCUGUUACAUCUUUUAAUACUUUGCUUGAUGAGUGGCUAAUCAAUAUAUAGGAAAACUUUUUGGCUGCCAAGAAGAAUUUUCAAUUUCGACAUUGUUGAUUUAAUCAUUUUACAUGUAUUGGGAUCCACGAACAUUGUGUAUAUCGAUCAAGGCAAUGUUACGUAUGAGUCCAAGGGAGGAUCUUAGCCAAGAAAUCAGAGAUGCACAAAUAUUCAAUACAUGGCAUGUGCGGUCAUUUUAGGAAUCCAAUAAUUUUAUGUGAUGGACAAUUAAUUGAUAUUGUCGGCCAAAUUAGAUGCUCCAAUUAAUCAAAGACUAAUCCGCUUCUUAGGCCACGAAACAAUGUCUAGAACAGUAAAAAAAAACUUUAUAAUGAUCUGCUAAUGAUUAUGUGGGAAGUCAUGAAUCCACUCCAGUUUUAAUCCAUUUACUCCAUUCCAAUGUUUUCAGUAUUAAAAUGAUUACAGAGCAAACUAUAGCGGAUAACCUCUUUUAGAACUCAAAUUUUGCACAGAAUAGGAAUCUUAGUCAUCUCAAUCAUAGAAAUAUAAAUCAAUAGUGAAUAGAAAUAAAUGCAUGGGAAAGGAUUUAUCACUUUACUAGUCAUACGUAUAAGAGAUAGAAGAUUACUUUGAGCAGUCCAUAUUACGAGUAAUGUUGACCGGAAGUUUAACACCACAUAGUCCAGGAAUAGCAGCAGCAUUCUUGAUUUGACCAUCAGUUGCAUUUGACAAAAAAGACUUCAGACAAGAACAGACACUUUGACGAUCAGUUUUGGUCUUAGCUGAGUUGAUGAGAGCCUUAAUACCACCGCAGCAAGCAGGAUCAACUGUUCCCCCAUUCAUAAUAUAGCUCAGGCAUGGAUAGAGAUCAUUGGACACUGUACUACAAGGGAUUUGUGCUUGCCCUCCAGAGGAGAAACUCAUGAUCAACAUGGCCAUGAAAACUACUAGUGUUACUUGUUUGUUGAUUGCUGAUGAAUUAGCCAUAGUUGUGAUGGGAUUGCAAAUUUUGAGAAUAGGAACUGUUUGAUCUUUUUGGGACUUUGGAGGGUUUUCACUUGAGUUUUGUUAAAUGGUCUAUAGCAAUUUUGCUAGCUUUUUAUAGAGGUGAAGAGGGCAAGGAAUGAGAUGAGAGGGGAUAGAUCUUGCUAUGUAGAUGCUAACUUUGGGGCUAGUUUAAUUUCUCUGGAUAGUGAUCAAAGGUUUGAACAAUUAAUUGGACAAUUUGGUAACCAUCAUUAGGAAUAUGGGAAUUGAAUCAUGUUCUACUCAAUAUUUAGGACAAAAUACUGGAAUAUUAAAGACAGAAAACUUACAAAUAUAUAGCAGCAGAAGUUGCCUGAUUGGAUGAGAAUGGACUUUAAUCAGCUAAAAGUUCCAGCACCUGUUCGUAAACGGCCAAUACGACUUGCCUGAUUGGAUUGAAAUGCUAAAAAAUGUCCUCAAAUUCAACCUUACACUGCCGUUUUGAUUGAAAUAGUGGUGCAGGAAAUCUAGUUUAAACAGCUAUCGUACUUGGGCCUGUUGGCGCAUCUAUUUUUGUUUGUCAAUUUUAAUUUUUAUACCAUAUGAUCUAUUAGGCCCAGGAAUUAAAGGUUUCGAAUUCGAGUCUAACUAAACGUGAAUUCAAUUUUAGUGUAUGUUAGGUACUUAUUUCAUUAUGAUUUAAUUGUGAUGUUGCUUCUGAUAUUACUGGAUUAAUUAUAUUAAUUCUACCUUUCUAGACUAAUUUUCAUUUAUUAAUAAUAAGAAAGGUCCCAAUUCGCAAGCAUAACCCUUAUCACUAACACAUGAUUUAUCGUGACAACUGAUCCUUGGAUGAUGUAAUAGUUACCAAUAAUGCAUCAAAUGAGUUUUACAAUAAUUUACCUUUCAUCCUGCAUAAGUCUUAAAAUAUUAGUACUAUAUUUGAAGCUUAGUUUGUUUUUCCAUUUUUACUAGGAACAAAGCCACAACUUUUUGAAUUUUAAUUUUCCAGCCACAUAUUAUUUCAUUUUUAAUUUACAUCGCGAUUGACAACUGCUAACUUUAGUUUCUCCGAAGGGGUUUAUACAACCAAAAUUAUUUACAUAUUUUGCCAAUCAAAUCUGUUGAAGUAAUACUUCUUCUUAUAGUUUUUACUUGAUUCUUAAACACUAUGAGUAAUUUAUACAAUUCUGGAAAAUUUAAAGUGUCUUGGAAAAGGUAAGGAACAAAAUGCAUAAUCCUUGGAUGUGAAUAGACUUGAAUUUCCUUUCAAGAAGUACGUUUCAAGUAAAUAUCAAAGAGUAGAUAAAACGAAGCACAUAUGACAUUGUUUAGAUUAUCAUGAAAUCAAAAAAUUAAAAAUUAAAAAAAGUUAAACAUUUUUGGCCAACUUUAUUGUUUAUUGCAUGUAUUGUGAUUUCGUCCUCGCAGUGAUGUCUAUGAGAUAUUCCCUUGUCUUGAUUUAUAUUCGAGAAUAUCCAUUGCAACGGAUUUAUACAUGCAUGCAUGCACACACACACAUAUACGCUCGUAAGCCGAUUCAGUCAAAACUCAACUUGAGUUCGGUCAACAUUCGAACUCGAGUUCAGAAAAAAUUUUUAUACAUGCAUACUUACAUAUACAUAUACAUAUAUAUAUACACACACACAUAGACACAUAUAUACAUAUGUAUAUAUAAAAUUUUUAUUUUGAUAGUAAAAUUACAUAAAUAUCCCUAAUAUUUUAUUAUUUGUUAACAAAAAAUUACUAUUUUAUUUAUUUUUAAAAUUACAUAAAAAAAGGGUUAAUCGCACUUUAUCCCCUUUAAGUAUGGGUCAUUUCUCACUUUACCUCCCAACGUUUGUUUUUUUUCAGUUUAUCCCAAAUACUAACAGUCAACUCUAACGGAGAUUAACAGAAUAAUGAAAAGACAGUAAUACCCUUAAGAAAAUAAUGAACAACCCAAAAUACCCAUAUGUCAAAGGUUUAUGAAACGGAUAAAAACAAAUUUCCAAAAUUGCCCUGGAACAAUGGAGGAGGAAAUUUCCCUCCAUCGGGCACAUGGGACAAGAAAAGGGAAACCAGAAGACAAAAGGUUUCCUUCCUUUUUGUCAUUGUCGGUCAAGUCUCUCUCCCCUCUAUCAGCCUCUUUCUUCUUCUGUAUUCCUAGCAAAACCUCCAAAACCUCCAUUAAAGAACAUGAAACGACACCAGAAAUAGAAACGGCACCUGCUUGGCGGGUCGGACCCAGGUGCAAUUGACCCAUCGGUGGUGAAAUCUCAAUUGGGAAGGAGGAAAGUGAAGUUCGUUGGGUGGAUUGUGAAAGGUGACGACGAACCUCAGAAGAGAGGGGGACUGGGGCUGCUUGUGGUGGUAGUGGCGGUCGGCGUCGUGGUGCUGAAGAAGAAGAGCAGUGACGACACCAGUCCACCAGCCGUCCCUAUAGUAGGAAGGCGACGACGUCGCCUAGGUCGAAAUAGGGUUCAGAAGAAAGAGGGUCAGGAGGAGGCACAGGGUUGAGGAAUUCGGCAUUGAUGUACUCGCGGAGAGGGACAUUGGAGCCCUCCUCGGCGACGAGGGUGUGGUACUGGACGUAGGCCUUACUAUUGGAGUGGAAUUUGAAUUUGCGCUUCUUAGCAGAAGAAGCAGAGGAGGAAAAAGAAGAAGCAUAUAAUUUUUUGAAUUUUAUGUUGGUGAGAAAGCUUCUUGCACGUUUACUGGCUGAUGCUUAGGUUAGUUUGAAACAUCUGUGAUUUCCUAAUGGAUAAUUUCCUCCUCUGUAACUUUUUUGCUCAUAUUCUGCUUUGCUCUGUUGGAUUAGUACUCGUGGGUCUGUUAGAAUAAUCCAAACUGUUUCUGAAGGCUUUGAACUGUCAUGUUAGCCUGAGGAUUAGUUAAAGUUCACAGUAUGUCAGAUAGCUAAUUCACUCUGCUGUUCUUUGAAAUCAAACUUUUUAUGUUUAUUCAAAAAGUGAUAGUCUGAAUCUUUGGAAGAAAAAAAUCUCUUUUAAAGAGGAAAAAGUGCUAAGCAACUUUUUAAGUGUUCAACUGAUGAAAUUGAAAAAGUGAGGGUAACUAGGUGCUGGAGGAAGGAAAUACUUAAGAGACUAUAUGAAAGUGACAAUUCAACAGAAAUAUUAUCAAUUAGAAAACCAUGCCCCACCUUGAACUGCUCAUGAAAAAUGCACACAUCCAACUCAAAAUCAAUUUGCAAUAACUACGGAGCCCUAUUAACUACCCAAUGGCAAUUUCGGCAUCUUGAAGUUUUUAACGUGCAAUUGCUGACGGAGGGAGUAAACUGAGAAAAAAUAAACAUUGUGGGGUAAAGUGAGAAAUGACCUAUACUUAAAGGGGAUAAAGUGCGAUUAACCCUAAAAAAAAUUAUUGUUAUUUUUUUAGGCUCGAACUCGGCUUGAAUUUGAGGACGAGUCUCGAUUCAUUUGCAACUCUGCUUCUAACCAUUAUGGAUCUAACAAUUGCUGUGUCUUAGCUAGCUAAUGAGGUGGGAAACUCCAAUGUUAUUAAAUGUUACAAUAGAGUUUCAUUUUUUUUUUUUUUGUGAAAUACAAUUAGAAUGAUGACCAUGUAAGGGUAUUUGGUCCUUUUAAUCUUUUGGUACAACUUAAGAGACACAAAAAUAAUUGAGUUAUUGUGUGCAUGAUCCACAUCCAGUUUAUGUCAGUCCUUCAAAGUUUGUGCCUUCCCAUACUCCAAAUUCUGCACCACAAAUGUUAAUGUCCAAUUACUGUUUUCUUUCAAAAGAAAUCACUACUUAGAAUGUGUAAAAAGGGCAAAUUGCUAACAUAGUUUAUGGAAAAUUUAUGCUACACCAUUCUUGUAUAUCAAGCAUAUUGACAUGUAUCUUUGCUUCAUUUACUACCCAAAAUAAUGCUAAAAUACUGGUGGAAACAAAAAAUUGUGCACAAAUCACAAAGUUGUUUGUCUGCAAGGAAAGUUGUUAAAAUAAUAAAUCAUGAUAAAAGAUUCUUUUUUUGGGCAAACAAUUAGACAUGUGAAUUCCAUCUAAGUUCUGUUGAGUAGGAUCAACCAAUAACAUAACACCUAUUGAUAUUACCCUGCAGAAAAACACUGAAAAAACACCUCAGUACAGAAUCUCAAUUUCUUUCAAGCAAUCCAGUAUCAGAAUCAUAGAUGAAUGCCUCAUCUUUCAUUUUCACCUUCCAAGGCUUUGGAUUCAUGUUUGAAUAUGCUCCAAAGCGGCCACAUCCCCUUGCAUGUAAUUUUACUGAACGUCGUAGCAGAUCAAUUGAAUACCUUAAACUGUCCAUGGCUCCACCAGAAUUGUACAUGUCAAGCAAUCCAAUUGGAGCAAAAUGAAUCUUUCCAUCAAUGACCUGUUCCAAAUUCGAAUUACCAUCUUGAGAUUUUAGUAAGUAGUGCAGAAAAGCUACUGAAAUUAGCCAAAUGCAGGCUCAAAACUUUCAUUGGCAGACAUAACAUGCUUGCCUGAAUAGGACAGAUGGUGUAGAUUUCAUACUUUAGGACACCAAGAGGUAUCUUGAGGUUUUCUUUCUUCGACAAUGUGUGAAGAACUCCUGAAGAUAGGAUAUGACAUGGUCAUAUAUGUGAAGUUUUAGAUUAAAAAUCUAGAAUUGGGGGGCUGAAAGCUAAAUUAUGGGGCCUCAAAGCUAACCAGAACUGAAUGUAGAUACAGUACAGAUUCCAUUCCAGUUUUCACCAGCUACAUCUGCUAGUAAUUCAACAUCUUCUAGAAAUAUAUUGAUCUGUUUUAAAGAUGCUAUAGAUAUCUUACUUGGAACAUAUCCCAGUCCACAGCUACAAUUUCCCCUUCAAACAGCCUAUUAAAAGCAACAGCUGCAAUCUGUGCCUUCUUGCCAUCAACAUGACUAAAAGUUCCUUUGUGCUCGGACAAUAUUCUACACCAAUAACAAGGGCUCAAUUAGGCCUAAAGUAAUGAGAAUGGAAGUUCUGAAGCAGAAUUCAUUACCAUAGCAAAUGGAAAUGCACUAGAAUGAUACUAAAUUGGCUGAUGAAGAAGCAAAGACUCUUAACUGAACCACACUUGAUAGAAUUUUUUAUCAGCUCACAUGGGUUCACCCCUGAAUUUAUGAAGAGUGCUUCCUUGACUUCACAGGUCUGAACAUUUGGAUCCCCAGGUGCAUUUGAAAAAUGAAAAUUAAGGGUAUGAAAGUUGCUCAAACAAUUAUGCAGUUUGCGGCAUAAACUAACCACUUUCUAUACACAGCUGCAGCUGAUUGUCAGAAGAUCCUUGCAAGCUAGUCCUAAAUUGUCCAUCCAGAGCAGAUAGGAACAAAGCAUGGAAAGUUCCUUUAGAAGAUGGCUCAGAAACUUCAUCAUGGAUGACAGUCUUUUCAGUGCCCUCCAGGAGAAGCACCUGAGUUUCCACAGGAACCUUACCACCUGAUUUCCAAAACUAGGUAUCAUCCACCAGAUUUUGAAUCUGACAUUGCACAAAAAUCUGUAUCCACUGCAAAGAACAUGAAAUUAUGUAAACUAAAGCACAGAACAUCACUGCUUUUGAUCAACUUGCAGCCGCAAGUACUAAUACAGAAUAUACUCACUCAAGAACACCAUGAUUGAAAACACAGCGAGAUUUCAGGCUUGUGGAACUAGGCCCAUUGAAAAUUGAUUCACCACUUGCUAGAGAACUAACAAUAUUUUCAGGUACUCCAGACAACAUGGUUUUUCCAUUAACUGUAAACAUGUCGAGGUUUUUCUACGGUAUCUAAUCCUGUCGAUCGAGGUUUCAGUUAGUAAAUCUGAUCUGGGAAAAGUUCGGUUAACAUUGUCGCAGGUAGAUCCAUAACCUUACCUGAUUAUUGAAGAAAGAAGCAUUGGAACCCUGGAUAAAGAAUAUAAUUGAUGUAACAACUAACAAGCAGGGCAAUGCAUGGUACUGCAUCGAAAGAUGCCUAGAUAGCCAUAAAUUAUGGAGCAUUUGUCAAAUUUUGUUCAUGGUUGUACUUAAAUCCAUGCCAUAUAUUCAAUAUUCUUUCAAGAAACUACAACUACUUGUGCCUUUUCAUUUCAAGAAUGUUUCGUAAUAACUAUACAUAUUGAUUUGAAAAGGGAUUUCAAAAAACUACUUGGAAGUGAAUAUAUUAGCAACUUCAGCAUUACUUUAAGCAAAAUAACGACAUUCAUUGAAAAAACAAAAGCACAAAAGGGGAAAAAACCAAAAUGUUCAAAAGGGCAAAUUGCAUUUUAGCCUCAUGUGGUUUUCGCAAAAACCACGUAACCCCCCAUGAUUCAAAAAGCUAUACAUAAACCCCCUGUGGUUUGGGUUGAACUGGCAAAUAGACGGAAAGCACUCACCGUGACGAUUCGUGGGCAAAACGCGCUUGUUCUUCUGGUAGCAGUAGGAAACAUUCCCAUACUACCCCUGACCACUUUGACGAACCCAAUAAAGCCUAGAUGGGUGCUCCUCAUCUCUUUCCAUCUUCCAAAAUACUUUGUAGCUGACUUUGCACUGAAUGUUGGUGAAGGCAAUACAUUUAGUGAAGAAACCAAACCAAGUUAGAGAACGAAGGAAAUCGGAAGGUGAGUUCUAACAUCAAGGUGCAGUUUUUUCCUUUUCCUGAAAUAUAACUUGAAUGGAUUAUUAAUUUUUUUUUCAAUAACUGUAGAUGUCAUGCUCAAGCAGUGCUGGUGGAAGUACUGAAGAUCUAAGGUACCAAUACCUACAUUGUUCAUGUGGGAGAAAAGCAGCAGUAAAAAUUGUUGAAUCUGACAAACCUUCAAAAGGAAAGCUAUAUUUUGUUUGUGCGACAAGAAGUUGUGAAUUUUUCUCAUAGUGCAAUCCAACAAGGAGAAUAAGACAAAAUUACACUAGUGAUUUGAAUGUUACAAGGAGACAUAUUUAGUGGAGAAUCAAGUAUUGAUAGUUCAGAUUUGGAAGGCUUGCGCAUGGAUGGUGGUUUAUAUUUGAGGAAAAUGAAAAACAUUGAAGAAAGCUUAGGAGUCAUGAAGAUUUGUGUGGGUGCUUGUUUUGCUAUAUCUGUGCUAUCAUUUCUCAUUUUGAUGUUUAAGUGGAAAUAUUUCAGAUGAAUUGUGGCUAUAAAAGUGCUGUAAAUCUGAACCUGUUGUGUUCAAUGAAUGAAUGAAUCUGCUUUGGUAGUCAAUUGAUAUAAUGGGCAAACACGAUUUCCAGUUGGUAUGAACCUGCUUUGGUACUCAGGCUGAACUUGGUACUCACAGGCUUAUCAUCACCACAGGGUAAAUCAGUGCAGAGGAAUAUUCAAGAAGAUAAUGGGAUUGAAGAUGAUUUUAUUGGUAAGGCAUUGAUAAACGCAUAUUUCUCCACAGUCAAGUCUAGGACAUGAAGUUAAACAAUUUCUCAUCAAGAUAGCACAGCCAAAAAGCACAUACACGAGCUAUCCAAAGUGGAAAGCAAUGGUUUAAAGCAAAACACUGAACUUUGGAUUCAUUUGACAAUAUAGUUGUCCAGAAGUUCACAACCAAUUUUUACAAAACAAAAUAAGGUACAUAAGUAGCUAAUCAUUAAGUCCAGCAGACACCAAGAUUCAACAAAAAGUGUAGCAACAACAUAUUAACAGCAGACGCCAAGAUUCAACAGAAAGUGUAGCAACAACAUAUUAACAAACACGUUUACAGACAAAUAACUUAGUUGAAUUACAAACACGUUUAGCCCUUUUAGUCCUCAAAUUCUAGAAACACGUUUAGCUUUCUUAGCCCUCAAAUUUUCCAACACAUUUGCAACUGUUGGUACAAGUUUUCUGACUCUAGUUGAUCUUCUAGUAUCUAAAUGGGUUCAACAAUAGAAGCAGCUCUUCUAGUAUCCAAAACAGGUUCAACAAGUUCAUCUAUUGAUCUUCUAGUGUCCAAAACAAGUUCAACAGGUUCAUCAGUUGGUCUUCUAGUUUCAAAAAUUGGUUUAGCAGCUGAAGUUUCACAAGGCUGCAUAAAUAGAUAGGUUUAAGUCAGUUAAAUGCAGUUAAUUGCAGUAAUAACCAUCAUCAUUAAUAGUACCUGUGACACUGAACCCUGUUGUGAGACAGAUCCAAUACUUGUUGCAUUUCCAGCAAUAUCUGUUUCAUUUGCUACAUCAUUCCUUGCAUUUCCAGCGUUUGCAACAUCACUACUUGUAUUUCCAGCAUUUGCAACAUCAUCACCUGCAUUUCCAGCAUUACUAGCUCCAGCAGACACCCAUUUUAAUGGUAACAAAUUAAGUACAUAUGACAUGAUAUGACACUGAUAAGUACAUAAGGUAACAAAUUAAGUACAUAUGACACUGAUUACAAAUUAACUACUACUACAAUUUACCUUAUAAAACUUGGACUUUGGAUGGAUUGGGAAUUUACAAGUCCUAGAAUUAUGUCCUGGCCUAAAACACUUCUUACAGUGUAUAGCAAGUCCUUUUCUUGUAGAUGUAGUGCCUCUAACUUCAUCAGCUUCUCUUCUUCUCACUUUCUUGGAUCUUCCAGGUUGCUUUCUAAUCUUUGGGAGAUUCACCUGUUCAGCUCCUUUUGAAUCCCAAUACUCUUCAGAGGGCAUUGCAGCUAUAGUGUAGUUAUAGGUGCUCAAGUAUGCUUCUUUGCUAUAACAAGGAUCAACAUAGUGUUCAGGCUCUGAUUUAUCCCUUUGAAUGGCAGCAAUAGAAUGUGAGCAUGGAAUCCCACUUAGUUGCCAUGAUCCACAUGUGCAUAUUCUACGACUUAUAUCAACAACAUAUACUCUAGUCCCACAAUCCAUUUCAUACUCCGCAUCCCAAGAAUAAUGAGCUAUGCAGAACCUACUAUUUAGCUUGUUCUUCUCAAGUCGUUCUUGUAUGUUUGGACAAAGGUUCCCUUCAUACUUUUGCAUGCCUUCCCUUUUCACAUUUAGCCUCUGCAUGAGUUUUCUUCUUAUCCACUCAAACAUGGAGAUGAUUGUGAACUCUCUUGCUGGAAGUAUGUAGGAAUUAAAUGACCCAUUCAAAUUAUUAACAAGAAUAUCACUCUUGCAUGAGGAGCUGAAAUGUGACCUGGACUAUAAAUGUGCAGGAAUCCUGUUUAACCAACCAGCUGCAUUCAUAGCUUCUCCCACCUUUGGAUCAGCCCUUUCCAAUUCAGCCAUUGCUGUCUUGAAGUCACGAAUGUUCCGAGCAGACGCAGCUGCCCAAAAGUACUCCUUCAACUCCUUUCCCUUGAACUUUUGUUUGAAAUUUUGAUAUAUAUGAUGAAGGCAGUAUCUAUGCUCUGAUUCGGGAAACACAUCAUCAAUUGCACUGACUAAUCCCUUUUGCCUAUCAGAUAUGAAUGUCCAUGGAGCUCCAUUUUCAACACCAACUUCAAUUUUCAACUCCAUCAAAAACUAUUUCCAUGAGUCAUAUCUCUCGGCUUCCACUACAGCCAUUGCAAUGGAAAACAUGUUAUCAUUGUCAUCCCUACCCAUAGCUGUCAAAAGUUGUCCACCAAAUGGACUUUUCAAAAAGCAGCCAUCUAAUCCAAUUAUUUGUCGACAACCAGCUAGAAACCCAUUCUUCACUGCACUUAAACUCCAAUACAUUCUUUCAAAUAUCCCAACCUCGUUCUCAUCCAGUCUAGUCACUUGCAGGACAAUAUGGCUACUAGGAUUCCGGAUCAACAAGGUAGUAGCAUAAUCUCUGAUGACAUGAUACUGUCUUAUAUCAUCCCCUUGUAGUGCCUCUCUUGCCAAUCUUUUAGCUCUAUAAGCCUGUCUCAUGCUUAUGUCCACCAUAAUCUCUCUCCUCACAGUCUUGACAAAUCCUUCAAUGGAAGAACUUGGUUCGUCUCUGAACCUGUCUAAAUAUUUUUUGCUCAAAUAUCUUGCAUUUGCAUGAUGGUUGAUGUAUUCUCUUCCACACACAUGCACUCCCUUUAUUGAUUUGAUCUGAAAGGUGCUUUCAUUUUGAAUUGGGCUUGCCCGUAUUUUUCAAGAACAACCCUUUUUGCAUAUGGCAAUAACUUUUGCUCUUUCAUUUUUUUUUGUACUUCAUGGUGUAGUCUUCCUUGACAUUCCAUUCCACAAGUGCUUCUCUAAAGGCCCGUAAAUUCUUAAAUUUAUCCCCAACUUUCAACUCAAAAUCUGAUUUUCUGAACUCAACUGCAGCAUUAAAAUCUCGACAACUAUUACCUUUCCCAUUUCUUUCAUCAUCUCCCCACAUAAUGUCAAGCGGUUCUUCAUCAUCAACAGCAAAUUCAUUCCACUUUUCAUUAGUUUUAGAACUCUCCCCUUCUUCAAAUUUGUUCUUAGAAGAGCCUGGUGAUUGCAGAUCCUCCAUUGUAUAUGUCUGCUUUGCUGUUGCUGGUUCUUCAUCUAUGCCUUUUGCCUGCUGCUAAUUUUCUAUUUCAUUAGCCUUUGCUCUGUUUGCAAAAAUAUCCUCAUCUUCUGGUCCUUCUAAUCCCUCUUUCAACCACUCAGGCUCUUCUAAACUAUCAGAUGUAGCAUCACCGUACUCAUCUUCAUUUUCAGGCUAUUUUUCAACUUCAUCUUGCUUCUCUACAGCUUUUUCACCUUUUUCCUUUGCUGAAUUAGCCUCUGCUUUGCUGUGCUUUUUGUUUCCAGCUAGCUUGGUCUGUCUUCUCACUGACUUCUUGACUAUCUGUUUCCCUUUUCUGUUUGCUAACUUUUUUGGGGUAUCUUUAUCAGAUACCACAUUUUGUACUCCACUAUGUGGGGCAUCAGUGGGGGCACUUUUACCAUGACUUUUUACUCCAACUGAAGCAACUUCACUAGGCAUUUCAUCACACAAUUCAGCAUAUAUGUUGAUAACAUCUACUCCUUCAUGUGCAGUUAACAUUAACUCUAUUUCUUUAUCUCCUUUGAUUUCAGCUGCUCCAACAUACAACCCACAAUUUGGUAUUUCAAAAUAUAGGUUCACAUUCGAGGCAUCACCAUACCUACCAUACAAUUUACACAACAUAUCCCUGGACAAUUUUCUUGUCUCACAAUUUUUAAAUAUGGCAACAUUGUUACCAGUAUAGACAGUUUCUAGUUCCCAUAUGAAUAUACCACCGAAAUGCAAUUUUAUAGUAAUUCUUUUUGAAGUUGUCAUUUUUUUCAAAGCCUGCAUUAAAAAUAGUGAAACACAUGAUAAGAAAAAAAAACACAAUCUGAUUAAGAAAAGGACAUUUAAUAGAUUACAUAUUUCAAUGAAAACACAUGAUUACAAAAAAAUACAAUCUGAUUAAGAAAAGGACAUAUUGCAUAUCGCAUACUUCCAUGGACCACAUGACGGCCAACAAGCCGACAAGCAAAAAUUAUUCAAUGUCCAAAUUGCCAAAACUUUAUCAGCAGCCAAAUCACUCUAUAUUAUUGAAAAUCAAACCACCCAAAUUUGACCCAAAUCUGACACUAAUCAACAAAUCUCAAACUAACAAAAUCAUAUUCUACCCAUGUUUAGUUGAAAUUUCGGUGAUUUUAGAACUCCUGAAUGCAAUUUUUUUUACCCUAAUCUUAAUGCAUAAGUUCAAUUCUAGUCGAUAAAAUACUCUAUGCUUAAAUAUGAUAAUACAGGCUGUCCCAAAGCAGCAAAAUUUUAAAUUAAUCAACGCUUAAGCAAAAUAAUCACUGAUUUAUUAACUUUCCAAUGCCCGAUAGUUUCUGUUCAAAAACCAUGCAAGUGCAUCUUAUAUGCUAAACUGAUGUCAAAAAACUUACCAGAUGCAACAAUAGCUUUCGUGAUACUCUGUCACAGCUACUUUUUGGUUUUCAAUGGUAGAUCUACGGUUUUAAUUUUGUGGGUUAAAUUUCUCUCCUUCAUUCGGCGAUCAUGUUUUUCUCUCCCUUUCUCACGACAAAGACCAGAGCAAGGGAGAAUCUGACUCAUCUGCUUCCUUUUUGUAUUUAUAUUAGGGUAAUUUGGACAUUUUGCCCACGAAUCGUCACGGUGGGUGCUUUCCGUCUAUUUGCCAGUUCAACCCAAACCACAGGGGGUUUAUGUAUAGCUUUUUGAAUCAUGGGGGGUUAUGUGAUUUUUGUGAAAAUCACAGGGGACUAAAAUGUAAUUUACCCAAAAAUAUUUGAGGUAAUAUGUGCUCGGUGGUUUUUCUAUUUUAACAGAACAGCCCAAAAGUUAUACAGUUACAAGAAAAUUACAAUUUUAGUCUCUAAUGUUUUAGGCGUGGACUAAAAUGGUUUAGCCUCUUAUGUUUGGAAAUGAACCAAUAUGGUCCUUUACAAUUUGUACAGAACUAAUCUGUUGAGAAAUGCAGAUCAAAUCCAGCCAAAAAUACAUUAGUACUCAAUUUCAAGGUCCCUCAAAUUGCAGCCACCUUGAAGGUCUAUAAUCAAUAAUCCAUUCUCAUGAUUAUACCAGAAUUUCUCCUCUUCUAUGUCCAUCUUGCAACAACUUGGUUUCGUACUUGAGUAAGCUCCAAAUCUUCCACAGCCUCGAACCCUGAUCUUUAAUGUGCCUGAAAGAUCCUUGGAGAUCCACAUUAUGUCUUCAAUGGCUCCGCCAGAAUUAUACAUGUCAAUUAAACCAAGUGGUGCAAAUUCAAGGGUUUCAUUGAAUACCUGUUUCACGUAAUAACAAAGUCAAUUAUGUUAGGCUCACGUUUGUAAAAAAUUGCAGGGAAAAAAUACUCUUGAGAAGUAUACUAACCCUGACUGGAGAGAUUGUAAAUAUUUCGCAUUUUAGCACAUCCAAAGACACUUGAAACCUUUUGUUCUUUGGCACUAUGGAAAGAUUUCCUGCAAUAUUAGUUGGCUUAAACAUUAGACAUAUAUUUGCCCUGGAAGUUGGCAAUUGACUAGGAUGAUGAAAAGCAAGCUGACCUGAAUUAAAUGCAUACACUGCAGAGUCUCCAUUCCAAUUUUUUCCAGCAAUCUCAUCCAGGAAUUCGACAUCACUAGGCCUAGCAUGGCUUGAUAUCAAAGAAUCUUGUGAAUGUUUGAUCGGCAAAUCGUGCACAGCUUCUUUUAAGGGCCAACUUCCUGCUCCUUGACAGUUGAAAACUCCAAGAACUCCUGUUAGCUUAUUCAAGUUCCAUAUCUUCAGCAAGCUGUGGAGUAAUCAGAUAGAAAUUGUUAGUUGAUGAUGAAAUCAUUAUUUUACCAAUUUCUCUAACUCUUCCAAUUUAAAGAUACAAUGAAAAGAGUAAUAGUCAGUGAAUCACCUCUUUCCGUCCAUAACUGGAUCGACAAAUAAGCAGUCACGAGUUGGUCUGCCAGCAUAUCUAGCUCUCAACACAGAUCCAUCAGGCAAGACAAGUUUCUUGAGGAUCUUGAUAUCAUGCUUCCCUGGCUUGUCGCUGUAGAAGUCUUAUUUAGUUUGCUUCUAAUGGAAAAUCCUACAAUUAGAUAAUGGAUGUAAAUGAGAAUGUAUCUGAUUUUGGUUUACCUUACAUACACUGCACAACCGCCAAUCGCUCUUGCUGCUCCAUGGAACUCGGCAGUAGUAUGGUUGCUCUGAAUGGAAGAUAUAAAAGCAGUCGGUCAUAUGAACUCAAAUCAUCAACAAGCAAAACUACAAGACUAGUAUUGCGUGUCAAUGGAGCUAAACAGAAUAGAGGUUCAACCAUAUUGUCAUAAGCCUAGAGUGUUUAGCAAAAACUUGAAAGAUUAACUUAGAAAACUCACAUGAAACAUGUCCCAAUCAGGUACUACUAUCUCCCCUAGAAGCAGACUGUUAAAAGAAACUGUUGCUAUAUGCAAAGUCUGAAAUGCUGGUUCAUUUGGCAUGAAGUCCUCUGAGGCUCUUGCUGUGGCACUUUUCUUUGAGCUGGGGAUAGAUUGAAGAAUCAGAACCAACAGUAAAAUUUUGGUGAGUUUUGAAGUAGGCAUCAUAUAGUGGCUAUUGACGAACCUGUAAAUAGAAUCAGAAUUGUGACACAUGCAGCAGAUUAAGUUAUUGUCUCUGAAGUUCUUGUCAAUGGAUUCGUCAAGAGCUCCAAGAUACUUUCUGGUAAUUGCUACUCGCCCACCAUGUCCAGAGCCUAAUGUUGCAAUCACAUUUUGAACAUCAACCUUUACACCGUCUACUCCACUAUUUGCAAGAUAACUAUGGAGGUCAUUAUAGAAGUCAUAGAUUUUCUCAGGAUCUAUUGUCCCAACACCAUAUUUUUCCAAGCUGUCCAUGGCUAUAUCUCUCAAGUUUCCUAAGUUUCCAGGAGAUUGAACUGGAUAUUCAAUCUUGGGAUUGUGUUCCUUUAGUGUUUCGGAUGAAGGAAGGAGUCCACCCCAGUAACCAGCUAAUGCAUGCCACAUGUAAACGUAUCUGCAUCAAGCAAGAAUUAUUGAACUCCAGAAAUACUUCAAAACUAAAUACUCGUACUGUUAAAGAAACAUAACAGAAAUAGAUAUGUAUGGUGAUUUCUGGGACAGUACUUCAAACCACAUCUCUUCUUGAUGGUUCCUAUAAAGUCCCUGAGGUUGGUUUCUGAACCAUCUGGUCCAUAGCUCUUAAAUUUACUAUUUUCCUUGAUAUCCACCAGCCUUGUAGCAAAUCUGUAAUCAAUGAAUGAGCUUCAAAGUGCUACCUUGAUAUAAAUGAUGGUGAAUUUAGCAAUAAUUAUUCAUACUCAGAAGCCUUACUGUGUUCCUUCAACAAAGGGUUGCCCUUCCUUUUGAAACUCAUUUGCUGUAUCUUGCCAUCCAUCAUCGAUUAUCAGGAAUUUUGGAGAGCAGCCAGCUUCUGAGAAACUGAUUAAUAUGAAAUGAGAGUUAUAGCUUUAAGAGUAAAACAGCUCCAGGAAUGUCCAGUUCAAGAAAAUGUAUAAAUUCUUGAAUCAGUAGAUAAUCAAACCUUUUAAGACCCUCUAAAAUUCCAUCUGGAUCCACUUUAGUAUAAAAAGCAUCCCAUGUACACCAUCCAAACCAGUCCAAGUGUGCAGGAGUCUGUGAACAGGAGCACAAAGACACCUUAAUCUUUUGGUUCUCUAGAUUUCAAACAAAGAUUGUUCUUAGUGUUUAAUUAAAUUUUCACCUUCUUGUUCCCAAUGUGAUUAAAUGUACCCUUGUGCUUUGCCAAAAGUCUGCAUCAACAGAGUUUUAAAAAAUAUCAUCAGCAUUGAAGAUCAAUGAAUAAAAAAUUGGCAUAUGUCCAUCAACAGCCCAUUGAGUUGAAGCAUACUUGAUGGAGUCCUUGAUGAGUUCAAAUGGAUUGUCCCCUGCAUUGAGAAAAACUGCUUCCAACGCUUGAGAAGUUUGGACACUCGGAUCACCUUAAAAAUGUUAAAAAGAAGAACAGGUUUCAAACAGACUGAAAUAUAACUGUGGAACUAAUCAAGAAAUUGAAACAGCGUGGUGUUAAAUGAAGCAAGCUAACCACUUUCAACACAGAAUUGGAGCUCAUUAGAGGCUGCCCCUUGCAGACUUGCCCUAAAAGAUCCAUCCAAUACUGGCAACAACAAAAUAUAGAACUUAUUUUCAUCAGGAGCAUCAAAAGAGUCCUCAUCAACAAGACUAGAAUCUUCUCUUGCUUCCAAGAGAAGCAUUUGAGUUUCCAUCGGUAUCUCUCUUCCAGAUUUUCCAACACGAGGUAUCAUCCACCAUAUCUUUGCGAUAAACAGACACAAGAAUUGGUAAUCCCUGGAAUAUCAGACAAGUAAAUGAGACUAUCACCUCAUGGAAAAGGUUGACAAGAUGACAUAUUUAAUCCUUAUAAAUCAUAAUGAACUUUGCAUCUGCAUUUUCAUAACGCAACAGUUUUCUUAUUUACUUGUCAAAAAGGGCUCAGACUUUGUUGCAAUUCUAAUCAAUAGUAUUUGCAACAGAAUAUUGCUCUGUACUCCUGCAAUUUACGAACCCAAAUGACCAUAAUCAGACAAAUACUUACUCGAGAACUCCAAGACCAAAAACAUGGCGAGAUGCUGUAUUUUCUGAUGUUGCACCCAAGAAGGCUGAUCCUGCUUUCCCUGGUGUAAUAACAACAUUAUCUGGAAUUCCUGUCAAAAUAAUCUUCCCACGGACGACAAGGCGUCCAUUUGUAAUAGAUGGAACAGCCGUUAUUGUCAUCUUGCUGGUGAUUUCUGACCACUUUGCAGCUUAACCUGACCAAUAAUUGAUCAAAAGAGGCUCAAUAGUUAAUACCAUUCAAGACUCUCGUACUUCAAAACAGUUAAACUGAGAACAAAGUUCAAAGGUAACGUAGAAAACCAAGAAGCAAUUGAACAAGAAAUCUUGGAAAGAUGAACAAACGUGAGAUGCAAUAUUGCAAUGCUGAUAAAUAAAUCCCUCCCCAGUGAUAAAAAAUUGCUUCCAGUAUGUGAAAAGCAAAUUUCAGCUAAAAUACGUGAGGUACUUUGAUUGAUACCUAUACAAGCUUUGCUUGAUCUUCAAUCAAGAAGCGAAUGAGAAUUUGAACAAGGAUUUGAAGUCCUUGACCUAUAUUUCUACACACGGGAUAACAAUGCCCAAAACAACAAGAAAAAGCCAAAUAUAAGUAGCUGGUUUCCUGAAUUGCUUUGAAAGAUUGGCAUGGAAAUAAAUAUUAGAUCUUGUAUGAUGAUUUGGUACCAAUCCUAGCAGGAAUGACACGGACCUGAGUCAUCUUCCAUUGUAUCACUUCUGGAUUUUGGCGUGUUAAGGUUGUAACUUAGUCCAUCAGUUACGCGUAUUCAUUAGCAUUGGCGGCUAAUCAUAGUUUGAAUCUAGAAGAAUUAACAUGGGAUUGGUAAGGGGAGAAUCCAAUUCAAUUAAUCAUUCAAGAAGUUUGAAGAUUCUUACUUUAUUUAUUUAUGUUUAUUAAUCAACUCCGAAAAAAAAAAUCAAACAGAAUAAAAGAACCAUAAAAUGAAAAGGGCAAAAAAAUUCAACCCACAAUCAAAUACUGAAAAAAGAAACUAACUAAUAGUCAACCAACCUGCCAAAAAUGAAAAUUAGAUAUGGGCUGCAAUGGACCCAUAUGACUAGAUCCUACGUUGACUGUUGACACAUUAGGCUAAAGCAAAAAUAAGGACAAUUUUGGUUUAAAUAUUGUAGCACCAAAAUUAGGAAUUAAGCUUCUGAAAUCCUGGGCAAAACUGCUUCAUGUCCAAAAUCUAAUCAAAUAGAGAUGAUCCUUCGACAACCCAAAAUUACAUAUAGUGUUCCUUGUUUAGCUGUGGCCGUUGUUCUUGGCUUUUUUAGGGUCAAAAAUGGCCUUCAAUUCAAUUCAAGAUUCACCUUUUCUGUAUCGAUUUAAUCCAGGAGUAAUGGAGAUGGAAGAUCUGCAAAACUUAGUUUGAUCCGUCUUGAAUCGAUUGCCCAAAUUUUGGUCUUUAGUGGUGUGUAAGAUGCAUGGUUAGAAUAAACACAAAAAGGAUCAAAUGUGGAAGGAAAAUUUAAAGAUAGAAAUUCAAAAAUUAAAAAAAAAAAAAAGAAGCAGCCAAGAGGGCUUGUUUAUCAUUUUAUUGUUUGGUCAACCAAAAAGAAUGAUAUUUUAUUUUUGUUCUAAAGUUUUACUAUUAGUUUUGACAGGAAAAUAGGCAUUUUCUACUUUACAUAAGGGGAUGAAACGGCUAACUAAAACCACAGGAGAAUGAUAAGCUGAAACCACUAAACCACAAAACAGUGAGAAGGCAACUUACACCCAAAAAAAUUUUUUAAAAAAAAAGAAACGACAAGUGAAUGACUAGAUUAAUUUGACAUAUAGAUUGAAGCUCAAUUUGGUCUAGUUCUAGCUAUAAAUCAAGCUUUUUUCAAAUGUUGGUGUAAAAGAGGAAAGCAAAGAUUGGUGGUAAAAUGUUCCAAAAUUUCCAGAUACUCAGCAAAGUGUUAGAAUACUAAAUCAACAUUUUUCCUAUUGCGUUAGAGUGAUUGGGAACGUUUAGAGAUGGAGAUGUAAGUUGAUUGAGGUUGUUAACAUAACACUAUCAUGUGCUUGAAGUUACAUGAACUAGAACUGCAAACGAAUCGAGCCGGCUAUCGAGCCGUCUCGCGAGCGGCUCGAGUCAAGCUCGACUCGAACUCGAUCAAUAUCGAGCUCGAGAUCGAGUUGGAGUUGGCUCGAGUCGAAAUCGAACUCGAAUUCGAGCUCAGAAUAUUAAGCUCGUUACGCAAGCUUGAGUAUAUAUAUAUAUAUAUAUAUAUAUAUAUAUAUUUUUUUUUUUAAGUAUUUUUUUUUUCUGGCUCAAUUAAGCCAAAACUCGAGUGAAAUUGAGUGAUGGCACUUAAAAAGGUAGUCAUAUUUAGUGUUAAGUGGUUGGUGGAAAAAUAAAGUGUGACAGUAAAGCAAAUAGAAUAUCAAAUUCUCUCUUAAUUUCCCUCUCUCCAGAAUUUGUGCAGCCAAUGAUUUUUUUUUUAUUUAUCGAGAUCCGAUUUAUUUGGUGCCUUGAAACCUUCUAAAUUUUGUUGGGCGUUUGGGUUUUUUUUUCCCCUUAGGUUCCUUAUUUUGUAAAUCAUGUGGGUAUCAUGGAUAAGAGCUCAAAGACUUUUUUUCCAAAAAAAAAAAAAAAAUUCCAAUUCUAAUUCAUUCAACAACAGAGGAAUUUGGGGUUGUUACGAUGCAAAAAAAGAAAAGGAACUUAGUAUACAACAUUCCAAAGAAAACAAAAUCUCCACAAGUUUCAACGUAGAGAAUUCUCUUUUCAUACUUUUCUCCAUGAUAUAAAAAGAAGGGGUCUUCAACAUGAUAUAUCUUUACCAAAGAGUCCGAUAAUUCCCUUCGUUGGAUCAUCCUGCUUAACAAUUGACUCUCCAACCAAAACCUGUGAUGGCACCAAAAGAACAUUUUGAAUAUUAAUCCAGAUUGAUUAAUCACUCAACAAAAACAAGAUUUUCUAUCCUUCUUUUUGUGUCAAUUACAUUUCUUGCAAUAGAUGAAUGUCUAUGCAACACAGUCAGUCAGAAGAAACCAAAAUUAGGGAAAAUUUGCAACUAGAAUCGAUGCCUGCUUGCAGCUUUUCCUGCCCCUUCUCAUACAUUCAAGGGAAUGGGAAAUGAUUGUGGAAGUAGAAAAAGUAGACAACUUUCCUACAAAACAUUCAUAACAUACCGCUUUGACGCCAGCUUCUUGCACGUAUGCAAUAUCAGCAGGUGUAAAAAGUCCAGACUCACCAACGACCUAAAGAUUUUGAAGACAGGAAAAUGAAUACAUUGGUGAUUAGACAAAAUAAUAUGUAAUGAAGCAGUCAUGUGCCUCUGUCAACAAUUUAACAAAGAAGGAGAAAUCUUAAAGGGCAUGAGAAAAGUGCAGAAAUAGGAUACUCACAAUUAUGCCUCUUUCUUGGAUUAUUCUCCCACGUUCUCCUUGAAGAAGAUUUUUAGUAUUGCUGAUGUCAACCUUAAAUGUUUCUGCAGAUAGACAAGGCUAAAUUAACUUGCAAGAGUCCAACAAAUGACUUGUACUGAUUCUGUAAGCUACUCAUUGCUCUUUUAACAUUUUUUCUAGGUUGUGCAUUUUUUAUCAUCUUCAUCCUUGUUCUUUUCGGAUUUAUAGCUUGUUUCCACUCACCCAUCCUCAAGAUGACACCUUUACCCAUUGUUACCUAACUCAUUUUUUCCUGACUGACUGUUUACGAACUACCAUUCUAAGAGAAAAAGGUUAUAUCAUGCAACCAUAUUGAAUAUCAGCACUAAGCAAGACGAGAUAACUAGGAAGAGUAUCCAGCACCAGAUUUUGGCAUCUAGCAAUUGGUGCACCAAGAAGUAUGUCAAAGAAGUUAAUUCCUAGAAAGUUUAAAAAAAAAAAAAGGGAAGUAGGGGAUUGUCAUAACAGAAUUAAUUUGUUGGUAUUAUUAUUUAUAGCAUCACAGUGCAAAUGAUAUACACUUCAGCAAAUGAUUAGCUACUUGAAAAUAUUUAGACCUUCUCAUCGAUGUUAGUAAGAAUACAAGGAACUAAUUUUUGUCCAAAUACAGCUACAAUCGAAUGUAAACUUGAUAGCAGCUUCAGAAUCAAAAUAUCAAGGUAUCAAACUUUAAAUGCACAUUUAAAUGCACAAUCAAGAAGGAGAAGAUUUAAAUGAUCGAUAUAGAAUUUUCUUUAGAAACAUACCGAGGUUACGGUUGUUUAUUCCAAUAAGUUCAAUCCCAUCAAUCCCAAGAACACGAUCCAUCUCCCUCUCAUCAUGUACCUAAAAAAUGAGAUAUGACAAACAAAGGUCAAAAUCAUUGAUACUUCAAACUUUUUACUUGACAAGAAAAACAAAAUAAAACCAAAAUCAGGAAAAAAUAAAACCAAAAUUGCUUCAAGUAAAGCAAGAUAAUUAUUAGACAGCCUUCAUGAGAACAGAAGGACCACUAACCUACAUAUGUUUAAAAAAUAAAUUUUUUCUUCAUGAAAAAGAUGAAAAACAAACUUGAGAUAUCAUUACAGAUUUUUGUUGAUAUUCCGAUUUUUGUACAAAUCACAAAUAAGAAAAUGAAAAUUACCCUGACUUAAAGGUCCUAAAUCUAAUACUAAAAGUGGGGAGGGAAUUGAAUCCUAUUAAUGGUUAAGACAGCAAAAGGAAAGAAAGAAGAAAACAAUAACCAUACCUCCACAAGUGGUGUUAAACCAAGCAAUUUGCAGAUCUUAGUCAUGUAUUUGAUAUCAAGAUCAGGUAAAACAGCAGCAAUUAACAGGAUUGCAUCUGCGCCUUUUGUGCGAGCAAAGUAUAUUUGCCAAGCAUCUAUAACAAACUCUUUGCAUAAGAGAGGGCACUGCACAUGUAAAUUGUUUCAGCAACCACUUUCAAAUAUAAUACUUUGAGCUAAUAUUCAGCAGAAAUAUACAUCAAGAAGAAAAAAAAUACCUUCACUCCUGAAUUCCUUAUUUUCUCCAAAUUCUCAAAGCCUCCCUUAUUUUAUGGAGCACAGAAACAAAAAAGUAGUGAUGAUAAUUAGCAGUAAGAAUUAACUUAAAAACAAAUACAUUGACUUGCAGAGACAGGCUUAUAUGACCCUGAAGAAAAAAGUCACCAAAUGACUGAAGAGUUUAAAUCCUUACUUGAAAGUAUUUCUGGUCUGUUAAUACACUGAGGCAUGCUGCUCCACCUUUUUCAUAGGCCUUAGCAAUUUCAACCUGUUAUAAUAGACAACCAAGAAUUAAUGCAAACAGAUAACACUGUCAACAUCUUAAGAAUUGUAUUCAGAUAUUAUAACCCUCAGUAACCUAUUCAAUUAACCACUGAUAGAGGAAUAAACCAGCAAACAGCUAUAGGACCAAAAGAUUCUCAAAUCAAACCAGAACAAGCAGCAUUUAUAUAAUAUAACUAAGUCUCCCUGUAUGAAGCUUCCAACUUAUUGAUAACUGUAAUCUGCCAUACAAAGCUUUUAAAAUCUUACAAAAUGAUUUUUAUUUACUCUGUAUUCACAAUAAAUCAGUUCAUUUUUAGUAAAAUGUCAUCUAAGUGUGUUUCUGUACCUAAGUUAUUGAGUUUGAAUUCUUAUUUUCAGUCAUUAAACAUUCAUUUAAGUAUCCAUGCAGACAAAUGUCCAUUUAAUCCUAACAGUCAUAUAUCUAGAUAUAGUAACAGGAUGGACGAAAAGGAAUUAGAUAGAUAGUAAUCAUGUUAAUGCGAAUGAGCAUAACCACUGUUCAUAAAGAAAAAUGCUUUUUCUUUCCCAGAAGUUUAUCUUACAUUUUUCCCAAAAAAAUGGCAAUGUUGGCCUCAAUUAAAUAUCAAUAACAUUUUUCAAGAAUUAUAAAAAUAAUCAAAAUUUUCCAAAUAUUUCAUCACGUUUGCAAAAAUUUCCCUGACACUUCAAUUCUUCUUCCGAUGCAUUAAGCACAUAUUCAGAAAAUGUCUAUGAUCCCGGUUCGCAAUGAAGACGCCCAAAAGCAAUUAUGAUUUGAAUAAUAGCAUUCUGCAUAUCAAUUCCAGAAUAGAAGAUUGUAAUGAAGAUAAGUAGACUACCAGAUUCUAAUGAAGUUAAGAAAUGAGCAAGUCAGUGCUCCUCUGUAGUCUCAGAACGAGCAGUGCUUCUCUGUGGUGUCAGAAUGAGUGUACCCUUUCCUUCAUAGACUCACUUAAGACGAGGUUAAUUGCCCCUUCCAGUAACUAGCCAGUGGCUUCAUUGCAUCAUGUUCUUAUAAAAUUACUAUUGUGACAAAAAAACAGAGCCACGAACCCAACCCCCCCACCUUCCCCACAAAAAAAAACCACCUGAGCGUAGGGAUAUAGUUUCAGCUUCAAUCUGGGAGCAGCAUGGUGCAUUAGAACUUUACAGACAAAACUCCUAUUUCAAAAUUUUAGAAAAAUGCAGCAAUUUUGCAAUUCCAUUCAACAUGGUUAACCCUCCAUCUUUUCCACAAUCAACUAAUUAACAUUUUCAAUAUGUCCAUCACAACCAAAAUUUGCUCAUCAUAACUUAUCAACAGCAGAGUCAAAGUGGUGCAUGAGAACUUACAGGGUCAAAAUCUUCCCUUAAAACUCCUCUACUGGGAGAAGCCUUUUUGACUUCAGCAAUUAGACCAGGCAAUCCAGUUUGCAAAUUUGCUGUCUUAAGUGCUCCAAUAAAGUCUCUAACUGGCGGAGCAUUCUCAAGAGCUUUCUUCAACACGGGAAGAGGCUCUCUCUCUUUCAUCUACAGACAAAUGCCAAUACGUAACUCAGUUUUCAGAUGGAGUUCAUCAAUAAGAUAUGCACAUAACAAAAGAUAAUUCAGAAAACAACAAUUACCUGAGAUACUUCCAGGUCCUUGUGCCACACAAUCUCUUCAAGUAUAUUACGUGGGGUAUUCCCCUCAUUCUGAAUUCUAAACUCAAAAGGACCCACAUAAUGCAAAGGAGGCCCCGUUGGCGGACGCCUCCUGAUUUUUAUACCUUGGCUUGCAGCAACCUCAUCUUGAAACAUCCCAACUUCCCAUUCCUUAAUCUUAAGAGCAUCUCUCUCAGUAAUUUCAGCUGAAGCUUCUUUCAAUUCAGACUACAACCACAACCAAAAUGAAUUUCUUUUCAAUGAAACUCCAUAAAAAAAAAAAUUCGGUCAUCUUCGCCGAAUCCCUCACAAUUAACUUAUUAUUACCACUUACUCUGAUAAACCCCCCCCCACCCCCCCUGGAUUCUAAAGCUCCUAACUUUUUUAUGCCAAAUUAACAAUUCUUCUCAUUAAAACCAAUAAAAAUCACAACUUUAUAACUACUUGACAUGCUCAAGACAUAACCAAGCACAGAAAUCAAAACCCAGUUGCAAUUAAUCCAAUUUUUUGCUAAAAAAACACCAAAGAAAGAAGAUAAAAACAGAAGAUGGAACACCAUGCAUUUUACUCAUUGCAAUACAGGUGAUUGAUAAAAUGCCAGAAUUACCUUUUGAGCUUGAAUGCUUAGAGGGGUGUUGUGUGCCAUUGAACUUCCAACUGGGGUUGGCUUGAAAAAUCUUAAUCUGGGUUUGAGAUGGAUUGACUGCAGGGCCACCACCCUUGUUGGUGUAUUUGCAGCUGCUCUCAGGGAUAUUGAAGCUUCCAUUUCUUGAAUGAAAGGAACUACAAAUCCUUUUCGGCUCUUGUUCAAGUGAGAACUGAGAAGAGCCGAUUGAAAAUCAAUUUGGAAUUAAAAAUCCUUUUAAAGGUCUUGUUUUUAUAUCGGCUAUGUGGGGUCAUUGUUUUUAAAGACGGCUGAAAACCGUCUUUUUGUUGCCGUCUUUUUUUUUUUUUUUGUUAAUUAACAAUGGUCUUAUUUUACAAUUUUGGAGGAGCUUUUUUAAUUAAUGACCAAAUUCAAAUAAUCUAGUUGUGCUCUGCAUUUAGACACUUUUAACAUUUUAUUUAGUUUUUAAUAAAACAUCAUCUAACAUCCUAUCAAUAGCGUGUUUUGAUAAAAUGUCAUCUAACAUCCUAUAAUUGACUUAGCAAUAACGUAUUUGGAUAGGAAUUAUUUGAAAUAUUUAUUUAAGAUAAUUACUGUAAUACUUUUUGUAAUAUAAUAUAUAUGAGAUCAAAAAGGUGAUUGAAAAGAUAAAAGGUGUGUUUGAAUUUUCGUUCGUAAUGCAAGAAAAUUGUUUUUUUCCAAAUCAUUCCUAUUUUUCCGACACACAAUCUAAUCUUGGUCUACCGUCCUGUUAGUUCCAUGACAAAAACGUUUUCCAACCAUGCUUCAAUGCUUUUAGUGGUGCUGGCAAUGCACAACAUUUUUUUUUUUUGACUAAUUGCUUUCAACAUUUGUAAAGUAUCUUUCAAAAAACAUGUGUAAAAAGUGGUAAGCAUUUCUUCUUUUUUUUUUUUUUUGCUGCUUUCAAUUUUUACACAUGAUUGUUAGGCUUUGUUCCUUAUUCAAUUCAAAUACGUAAUGGAAAGAAAUAAAUCAUAUGCUUCUACAUCAGAAUACUUAAUAUUAGUAUAUUACCAUGUCUUAUUUAUUUCUUAUCAUCAACCAGAAACAUGGAAAAGUACAUAAAACCAAGGAAAAAAACAGACAACUCUUGAAUCCAAGUUCAAUUGUGUCAUUUGUGUGUGAACCUGAUCCACUGAGAUUUGCUAGGUAUCCCUCCAUUCACAACUGUGAGCAGAUAAUAGCCAGCAGGUGCAACAUUAGCAGAUGGAGGAGCUUCAACAAUUGCAUUCACCAGUCCAUUUUCAUCCUUGACCAUUUUCUUGCAUUUAAGUCUUAGCAUCCUCUGAUUCAUGGAAAGGGAAUGAGUUGUAAAGGGAACUGCAUAGACACUGAAUAUCACAUCUUUGCUGCUGAUUUUCCCUCUUAGCCAAAAAUGAACUCCAAACUCUCUUCCAUAGCCAAUAUUUUCCUCCCCAUUACUGGUGGAGAUUGACAGGUUAUGUGCCCUUCUGUGAUCGAAUUUUUGGUCCAUAUGAUCAGGGACAAAAGCUUGUAGCCUUAGCUCAGUGGGAUAUUUCACAUUCUUGAAUUCAUACCUCCUGUUAGGAUUACUUCCUGCUACAAGAACUCUCCCAUCAGGGAGAAGAAUAGCUGAUGAAUGGUACAUUCUGGGAAUUUUGGCGGCUUUUAGGACUGUGAACCUUCUUCCUUGUCUUUUUUUGGGCUUGUAGAGAUAUGGCUCUAGAGCAGGGGAGGCUGCAUUUUCCCAUCCAGCACAGCCUCGUUUUGCACCGUUUAUGAUCAGUAUAUGGCCAGUGGGGAGAAUCAACAUAUCACCCAUUACUCGUGGUCCAGGCAUGUUCUCCAUCUUCCACUUGUGCCUGUUACCUGUGAUCACCAUUCUGCCACAAGAGCUUAAGCCCUUCAAGAAUUUCCCUUCAUUGGCGGCCCCAUAUGCCCCUGGAGCAGCACCUCCGCAUAUCAUGACUUCAACUUUUUGAAAGCCAUUUUCAUGGUCUAAAGGAAGAAUAACAGAUGAGCCAGUGCUAGGAUAGCUCCUUCCUCCAUCCUUUGGAAUCCUGGGAAAUGUCUUCACAACUUUCCUUCUUUUGUAGUUGAAAAGAAUGGAAUCUCGGUUUGCAAAGAUGAACAAAUUGCCAUCAGAAGAAAGAUGAAGGAAGGGAUAGAGGUUAUUCCCUUCUCUCCUUCUUUCGUAUGUCUUGUGCAAGAAAGGCAGAUCAUAAGCCUUCUCCCUGGAUGACAAUUUAGGUACAAACUCGUAGGUAAAAAUCCUUCUUCCACCAACAACAAUGACUCUAUCCUUGUCAGGCAAUAGUAGAUUGGAAGCAUACCAUCUCAUAUCUGAAAGAGAAUGCUUAUUCUGCUUCCAAUCACAACGGCCAUUAUGAUCACAUGGCUUGAAGUAACGAAUUCUUUGCGAACCACCACCAUAGCCACCCGUUUGAAUAAUGGUUCCAUCACUCAGUAUGGAACCAGAGGAGCACCAAGUAUCAGAAUUAAUAUGUAGAGGCCUAAUCUUGUUUCUCAUAAUGUCAUACUCCACUGAAUGAGCAUAACAGGACCAGUCCUCCGAAUCCCUAUACCUGUGGUCACACUUUGUCCCAUUCAGCCUUCGUUUUAGGCGGUAACCAGAUUGCUGAGAGCCAAUCUGAUCAAGUAUGACAACAGUGUCGUAGUGUGUCAAGGCCAUAUGCAUGGCUACAACACCUGCAUUCUUCAAUAGAAGUUGCCAUUUCCCUUUUCUGUUCCCUCUACUAGAAAGCUCUCUAGCUGCAUUGCACAGUUCAGUGGAUAGCAGGAGGAAAAACAGCAGGAAGACGAUACAUUUGAUUAAGAAGCUAAGGAAAUUCCUUUGCACCAUGAGAAAUUAAACUCUGGUCUAUGCUUUUUUGUUUAGCUUACACUCACUGGAGAAUUAUCAUUUAUAUAUGGCAAGUUUGGUAAAGAAAAUGUGAUCCUUCCAAGAAACUUAGCCUUUCUUUUCGUGUGAUUCCUUUGCCUAAAAGGGGCGGCUCAAGCAUCAUGUAUGGAAGGUGCAGAAAGUAUUCAGGAUGCCACAGAAAGCUUCACUCAUUCAGCGAAAUCUUCUCGCCAGAUCAGGGCAUAAAGCUUGUGAAUUCUCCAUUUUCCAAUCUAAGGGCGCCCUUUCACUCUUAAGUUGAAUUGUCCAAUUUUCAAGAUUGAUUUUAACAAAAUUGUUAUAUAGCAAGGACAUGCACUCGUGCACCAUCGAAGUAUUUAUAAGGCUCUCAAACGCUUGUUCAAACUCGUACUCUGGUCGAAAGAUCCAAGUUGCUAGACUAAGCAAGCUAGAUGAACCUCCAUCAUAUAAUGUCACUUGAAAGGAUUGUAGAGGAGCUUAAUGAGUAUUUAACUAUCUAUGUAUUGUAUUACAUAUGAUUGUGAAAACUAUUGUAUUACAUACCAUUGUGAAAACUAUCAAUAAAUGUGUAUUUUUAAUACAAAUAACAAUUUUCCCGUGUUUGGAACCAAUUUGAUCCGUCGCCUAAGUUUACAAGUUCAAUUUCUUCAUAUUUUUUCUCAAAUCCAAUUUUUUUAUCUUAAUAUUUGAAAUGCAUUUAACCCGAUAACACGUACUAAUAUUUAUUUAAUUCUCUCUUUGUCAAUCAAUUUUACACAAAUUGUCAAGUGUUAAUUGUUUGAUUAAAAAUCCACCCCCUAACUUUUUGUUUUAUUGACAAGACACCCUAACCCCUUUACUUUGGGUACAUAUAAACCUACUGCCAAGUGACAAGAGAGGGCAAUUAGCAUAAAAAAAUGGCACGAAGUUAGUAUGCAAGGCAGGCGAAUUAAGGUCAGAAAUUUGUUGACCCGGUUUUUCUCCUCCUCUCUGCAUCUACCCCUUCCAUACUGUUUUCUUAUCGAUUUCCAGUUCCUACUAGGCUACUCCCCCCGGUUCAACACCAAAAUUCAAGACCAUUUAUACCACCCAAACAAGAGAUUGAACAACCCCAUGAACCAAACGUCAUCCGGGCGGGGUCUGAUUCCAAGAGUGCCAUCAUUUUCCCACCCCAGGUAGGUAUCUUGUUCGGUAAGGGUACAGCAGGGAGCUGGUAGAAGGAGCUUUACUCAGUCGUAAAUUAUGGGCAGUGUCAUUUUUUAGUGGCAUCUAGGAUGAGGCUUGAACUUGCAGUAAUCCACCGUGCCAGGAGGAAGUUAGUGUGCAUUGGUAUUGUAGAAAGAUUCUUCUUUUUGCAAUGUUUUGGUCUGUAGUUGUUCGGUCGUCUUCGUCCCGACGAAGUAUUGGUUUUGUUAAUCAGAUAGUUCCUUGCUUUUUUGGCGUAUCAAGAACCAUAUAUAGCAGCAGUAGCCGCAGCUGUCUUGCAUCUAAUGGUGGUGGUGGUGGUGAUGGUGUGGAUAAUGGGUUUCGCGCUUUCGAGGAUUACUUGAACGAAUCUUGGAAAAGUUGCAAUUUUGAUGAGGAAAUAGAGUUAAAAACAACGUGGAGAAGUCAAAAUAGUACUUUCCAACAAAAGCAAAAUGUUUCUUCAAGAAGUAGUUUUAUUGACACGGUAAGAAAUGAUGCUAAUAGGGUUCUUGAAAUUCUUCGGCAAGAUGGUCCUGGAUUUGAUACCAAAGCUGCUUUAGAUGAUUUGAAACUUAGGCUUUCUGGGCUUCUUGUGAGACAGGUUCUUUUAGGCAUUUUGACGAGCAUAAGUUUUGCAAACAAGAAACGGAGCGCGAAGCUCGGGUUCAAAUUCUUUGUGUGGUCUGGUCAGCAAGAGAACUAUAGUCACACCACAAAUUCGUAUCAUCUGAUAAUGAAGAUAUUUGCGGAGGCUGAGGAAUUUAAAGCAAUGUGGAGAUUGCUUGAUGAAAUGAUCCACAAGGGGUAUCCGACAUCUGCUCGAACUUUUAAUCUGCUGAUUUGUACUUGUGGUGAGGCUGGAUUAGCGAAGAAAGUCAUAGAGAGGUUUAUAAAAUCGAAGACGUUUAACUAUAGGCCAUUUAAGCACUGUUUUAAUGCAAUUUUACAUUCUCUAGUGGUACUGCAUCAUUACAAGUUGAUUGAGUGGGUGUACCAGCAGAUGUUGGUUGAAGGUCAUUCUCCGGAUAUUUUAACUUAUAACAUCCUCUUGUGCUCUAAGUAUAGGCAGGGGAAACUGGAACAGUUUCAUAGAUUACUGGAUGAAAUGGGACAAAAUGGGUUCUCACCUGAUUUUCAUACUUACAACCUCCUCCUUCAUGUGCUAGGUAAAGGGGACAAGCCUCUUGCGGCCCUGAACCUUUUAAACCACAUGAAGGAAGUAAGUUGUGAUCCAACCAUUCUUCACUUCACCACAUUAAUAGAUGGGCUCAGCCGAGCUGGGAAUUUGGAUGCUUGCAAGUACUUUUUUGAUGAGAUGAUUAAGCAGGGAUGCAUGCCUGAUGUUGUUUGUUACACUGUAAUGAUAACAGGGUAUGUUGAGGCAGGGGAGUUUCAUAUGGCUCAGGAAAUGUUUGAUGAAAUGAUCAGUGAAGGACAGCUUCCAAAUGUUUUUACUUACAAUUCUAUGAUCCGAGGGUUAUGCAUGGCUGGGAAGUUUGAGGAGGCUUGCUUGAUGCUGAAAGAAAUGGAACGGAGAGGUUGUAAUCCUAAUUUCUUGGUGUAUAGUACCUUAGUGAGUUACCUGAGAAAUGCUGGAAAGCUUUCUCAAGCCCAUGAAAUUAUAAAAGAUAUGGUGGAAAAAGGGAAGUAUGCCCAUCUAGUUUCGAAGAUAAAAAGAUACAGGAGGUGCUAACGAGAAAGAGUAUAUAAACUACAAGCAAUUUUGUAAUAUCUACAGAAAAUGCUUAUUGAUCCUUAUUUGGUACCUUUGUCUGUGAUAUGUUUUAGAAGCAGCAAAAGUUUCCAAUUCCAUGGGGUCUUGAAUCUGUCAAUUGUUCCCUAGUACUUGCACAUUUUUCUCAAAGUUGAAUAGCCAUUUUGGAGUUGUGGGUUGAAAGGAAAAAAUAAAUGGAAUACAUUUGCUUCAUUCAUAGCCUAAUACUUGUCUCCAUCGAUUUUGUUGUUAUUGCUUUGAGGUAAGUUUUUUUUUUUCUUUUUGAAUUAUUUCUUCCAUAAAUUUAUGUCUCUUCUUUUUACUUACUCUGCUACUUUUGUUCAAAUAGAGCAAUUUCUCCUCCAUGUGAGCCCUGAUUAAAAUGCAAAAUGUCCUGCUUUGGCGAACUAGAGCUUAGGAAAGAUUAGUUCCCAUGGAAAUUAGAAAAAUAGAAUGGAUCUCUCAUUCAUGUCUCUUUUGGCUAUUAUACUCCAAUAGUAGAUUAGUCUACUUCCCAUCAAUGCUUUUGAGCAAUGAAAUUUUAUUUACAUCUAAAAGCUUUGGUUGCUGCUAAGCUUUUACUCUGAAGAACAACACUAAUUGAGUGACAGUUUGUGAAAUUGAUAUCUUAACUUACAUGUUUCGGCUGGCCUUUUAUUUCGAUUACUUUUAUUGUUUGCGCUGUUUCAUCACUUUAUUGGAGAAAGUACAGAAGAAAAUUAUGCUUAAACUAAAUAUGUGUCAGCAGUUCUACAUUAGCCAAUCAAACAAAGAACUUUGAGCUACAUAUUCAAUUUCUUGUGAAUAUGGAUUGAGUAUGGAAAGUUUAUGUUUCCUAAAACUAGAAAACUACUAAUCAAGAACAGAAAAAGGAAAGGUGCAAAAAAAAAAAAAAAUAUAUAUAUAUAUAUAUAUAUAUAUAAGAAAGGCAUUUAUUAGAAUCCUUUACUGCAGUGCUUUGUGUAUGAUUGACUGGUAAUGGUUUUUGUACACACCAAUUGCACAUGUAUUAGCUUCAGCUUCAUAGAAUAGAUAUUGUCUUCAUUUUUAUUUUGAAAGUAAUACCAUGUUUCUUCCAGCUUUUUCAUUUUCCUGGUUCCCUAUGAUGAUAGAAGUGGGUCUUUUUUCUUAGUUUCAACUGUCUACUUGUAUUUGCAUAGAACCGCCAUUAUUCAUUGUUUAGGACAAAACGAUGGCAAAAUGACUUGGUUUCCUAAAUUUUCUUGUCCCCUUAUAUUUCUCAAUGGUUACUUGCACCUAAAAUGUGGAAGCUCCUAUGGUGUAAAUGGGAUCCUAUAGGGCUCGUGAGAGCAAGUGGCCUAUCACUCUGUUUAAGCCUGCUGAUUGUCAAUUUUCCUCCUAGUGCAAAAAUAAUUGGUCAUCUGUGCCAGUGCCAUUGUAGACUACAGCAGGAAGAACAGAAUCUGUUAAGAGAUAAUGAAUGUGAUUUAUUGGCAUUAAGAAAGUUACAUAGCAUGUAUGCCUCUGUCUUGAAUCAAUUUAUGGGUUUGUCUAUGUUUUGAUUUGGGUAUCGGUAGAAUCAAGAAAAAAAAACUUGAUCUGUCUGGAAAGGUUUCAUCUUAAUAGUGAGGAGAUAUUCAAUGAUAUGGCAGCAUGUGAACUUAAUUGCAGGUUUUUUUAUCACUUAUUCUCCUCUGCCCUAUAACUAGUAAUUUACUUUUGUAUUACAGAAACAAAUAGACUUCUGAUGUUACAAUUUCUGGUUUCACUUACAUCUACAAAUGCUCUGUCAGAGUCAAUAUGAAGGGCAAUGCCUUCUUUCUUGGUGUCUUGCCCUCUGAAGAAUGUAGAAUGUUAUUACCACUCAAUUUAACCCGUUAUUUCCAGAUAUGCCUUUUCUUGAACUCAGGAUGCAGGAUUCUGGUGAGAUUCAAGCUCGGUCGACAUAUUCAUGAAGUGCUUUAUGAAAUAAAAUGGUAGAUCUCUUAUAAAAUUCUGGUUGAAAAACCGUAGUUGGGAAAAACUGCUAAUCCAAAUAGACCCCUGAUUCUCCUGGGGGACUGAACAAUUCUUCUGAUACACCAGCUUUCAAAAUUGCUGAGGCAAGUAUGGGUGCUUUAUGAAUAUUCUUGGAGGAUGAAUUUCAAACUUGCGAAAAUAUUGAGUCACAAAAAUGACAAACGAGAUGAAAUAACUGGAAAUGAAAACGGCCAUUGAGGUGGUUUCAAGUACUUGUGCCAAACUUGGCGGUGCAGCGCCCUGAAAUUGAGAUAAAUGUUCAGAUUUCUUGAUUUCAUUAGUAACGACAGAAGAUUCAGACAUUUUGGCGAACGUUAUUUUCCACCAUGGGAUCCCUCAGGAUAGAUACCGCAAUCAAGAAGAAAAAUUCUAUUGAGGAAUUUCGUACUUUUUGACGUCUUCUGUGAUUUAGCAGCUAUGUUAAGCUAGAGGCCUAAUCAUUGCAUUUCUUUUCUCCUCUUAUAUUAUAUAUAUCUAAAGAGGCAUGAUUAUUGCGAUUUUCAUCUGUCGUGUAGUUGAAAGAUAUUUGUAUAUAAGCUUCUCAAAGAUCAAAAAACCAGAAAACUCCCAUGAUUGCAGCAUCUUUACUGCCCUAAUUGAGAACACCAGUAUUCCAAGGCGAGAAGCCUACGCUGCCAGAAUCCUGCAGUUGCAAGCUAUCAAGACAUUGAGACCAACUUUAGCAAACAUCAAAUACAAAGUUGUAGCAGAUACUUUCUGCAUCUGAAAUCAGAGAAAUACGACUGAGUUUUCAACUGAAGAUUAUUAUCACUAAUGACUGCGGCUAAAAAAAAGAAUUGUUAUAUACAGAUCAAGAAUUCGUGCAAGACAUCAUCCUUUCAUGUCACAAGAUAAUUAUGCAGUAUUUAUCAGAUAAAAUGGCAAAGCUAUUAUCAGGAAGGACAAAUAUUUGCUAGAACUAGAUGAGAGCUCUUCUUAAAACAUAGAAUUUACACUGCAUAUGAAUUUCCUUUCAGUAAAGUUUGAUCCUUGUA
rnacentral:lncRNA from 1 species